CAUCUAAACCCUUAAAAGUUUCCACUUUAGAGGCGCUUUCUUAUAAAAACGCCCUCUAAAGUGGCCCUUAAAGGGCUUAAAGAGCCACUUUAGAGAGCGCUUUCACCAGGAAAAAAAGCGCUGUCUUUACCUAUGCCAGCGCCAGAUUAGAGGGCGCUUUAAAGCGCUGUUAUAGACCAAAAAAAGUGCCCUCUUUUCCCUUAUUUGGCGUAGUGAAACUAGGAGGGAACUCUGACUGGGAGCAAGUCGGAUGGCGACUGGUGGGGAAACUAAUGCGAUCUAUCGGGGAAAACAUCUUACUCUGCUGAAGAUCAACCCCGUUGGGGAUACAGAAACACUGUCGGGGAAAUAACAUACCGCAAGGUACUGAAUCAACCAACUUAGUUGGGAAAAAGGAUCGAAAUUCCGCUAGGGAACUAACACUCUGCAGGGGGACCGGAACAACAUAAACAACUAGGGAUACCCGAGGAGUUAACUGCUUAGGGAACCUAUGAUGUUUCACACUUGAGGACUCGUUGCUCUUGAAGUGCUGUUGAUACCUCCUUUUUAAUAGCUUUGAAAAAUUCUUGCUUUUAUAUGUUUUUGAGAAAAAAUGAUUUUGACUAAAAAAUUUAAAUUUUCAAAAUGAUCAUAAUAAAAUUUAAACUAUUGGCUGAAGUAAAUAAGAGUAGAAACAAUUGUAUAAAAGAUCAACUUUAUUUAAUGGGAUGGUAGUUUGUAAAUGACAAGAGCAACGAGUAAAUAAGAGUAGACUCCAUGGAUUUUUACGAAGUUGAAAAUGGUAAUUUACAUGGAAAAGGGUUACAUUGAAUACAAAUGACCACUAAUCCUUCUACCAAUCCUUUGAUACCCACUGUGCUCUUGACCGCUGCUGGGAUGAUGAAUUGACGUCAACCCUUGUGCUCAAAGUUCUCCAAAAUUUGAAGAUCAGCAGAAUGCAAUUACUUGCCAUAAUCCCUAAUUUUUGCAUAAGUUUCCCCAAGGUGGGGUACUCAACUUAUUGGGAAAUUCUUCUGUUUUUAUGUCUCUAAUUUUUGCCUGGAUCGCCCUUUCGGGUUUUCAAUCCACCGAGAUGCUCAUUUUUGCCUAAGCCGCCCUUUCGGGUUUUCAACUUAGCGAGUUGUUCUUUUCUUUUUUAGGCGAAGUAUUUCUUGACUGCACUUGACUGCAUCUGCGUUCACAGGACGAGUGAACUCUUCACCAUCCAUAGUUGUAAGAAUCAAAGCACCGCCUAAAAAGGCUCUCUUAACAACAUAUGAGCCUUCAUAAUUAGGAGUCCAUUUUCCCCUAGAAUCUGGUUUGAACGAUAAAAUCUUCUUGAACACAAGGUCACCUUCUCUGAACACACGAGGUUUGACCUUCUUAUCAAAAGCUUUCUUCAUCCUCUGCUGAUAUAACUGACCAUGACACAUGGCAGUUAAUCUCUUCUCUUCAAUCAAAUUCAGCUGAUCAAACCUGGUCUGACACCAUUCAGCCUCAGUCAACUUGGCUUCCAUGAGCACACGCAAUGAAGGAAUCUCAACCUCUACAAGGAGUAUUGCUUCCAUACCAUACACAAGAGAAAAAGGGGUUGCCCCUGUUGAAGUGCGGACGAAUGUACGAUACCCAUGCAAAGCAAACGGGAGCAUCUCAUGCCAAUCCUUGUAUGUGACAACCAUCUUCUGAGUGAUCUUCUUAAUGUUCUUGUUCGUAGCUUCAACAACCCCAUUCAUCUUAGGUCUGUAUGGAGAAGAACUAUGGUGUGCAAUUUUGAAUUCUUUGCAAAGAGUUUCCACCAUAUUGCUAUUCAAGUUCGAUCCAUUGUCAGUAAUGAUCUUACUUGGCACACCAUAACGACAUAUGAUCUGAUUCUUGAUAAACCUUACAACAACUUGCUUGGUUACAUUUGCGCACCAUGCCGCUUCAACUCAUUUGGUGAAGUAGUCAAUAGCCACCAAAAUGAAACGAUGUCCAUUCGAAGCUUUGGGCUCAACCAUCCUAAUCAUAUCAAUUCCCCACAUGGAGAAGAGCCACGGGGAAGAGAUAACAUUCAAUAGUGUCGGAGGAACAUGAAUCUUAUCAGCAUACAUUUGACACUUGUGGCAUUUCUUCACAAAUUUGCAACAAUCAUAUUCCAUUGUCAGCCAAUAGUAACCUGCUCGCAACAUCUUCUUUGCCAUUGCAUGUCCAUUAGAAUGAGUACCAAAGGAACCUUCAUGCACUUCAGUCAUCAACAAGCCUGCUUCGUGUCUAUCCACGCAUUUGAGCAAAACCAUGUUGAAGUUUCUCUUGUACAGUAUAUCACCAUUCAAGUAGAAAUUACUGGCUAAUUUUCUCAAAGACUUCUUAUCUUUCAAAGAUGCCCCAGGCGGGUAAAUCUGACUUUGGAGGAAACACUUGAUGUCGUAAUACCACGACUUCUCGUCUUUGAUCUCUUCAACAACAAACACAUGAGCUGGCCUAUCAAGAAGCAUCAUAGACAAAUUGGGAACUUCAUUCCAAUACUUUACCAUAAUCAUUGAUGCCAACGUUGCAAGAGCAUCUGUCAUCCGGUUUUCAUCUCAAGGGAUAUGAUGAAACUCAACCUUUGUAAAUAAAGUUGAAAUCCUCCUCGCAUAAUCUCUAUAUGGUAUUAAAUCGAGUUGAUUUGUCUCCCAUUCACCUUUGAUUUGAUUCACAACCAAAGCUGAAUCUCCAAAAACAUCCAAAUACUUGAUUCUGAGAUUCAUGGCCUCUUCAAGCCCCAUAAUGCAAGCUUCAUAUUCUGCCAUGUUUUUUGUACACUUGAAAGUCAAUCUAGCUAUAAAUGGUAGAUGCGUGCCUUGAGGAGUAAUAAUCACUGCCCCAAUGUCAUUUAUAUACUGAUUAAUAGCUUUAUCAAAUACCAUGCCCCAACGGGAACCAGGUUCCGACCCUUCCUCAAAGCAAUGGUUCAUCACAAUCUUUAAUUUUCAAGUACAAAAUCUUUUCAUCAGGAAAGUCAUACUGCACUGACUGGUAAUCUUCAAUUGGUUGGUGAGCCAAAUGGUCAGCCAAGAUACUACCUUUGAUUGCUUUCUGAGAUCGGUAUUCGAUAUCAUACUCUGAUAAUAACAUUUGCCAACGGGAAAUCCUCCCAGUUAAAGCAGGCUUCUCAAAUAUAUAAUUGAUCGGAUCCAUUUUGGAUAUCAACCAAGUGGUAUGAUCCAACAUAUACUGACGCAGACGCUUAGCAGCCCAAGCCAAUGCACAACAAGUUUUCUCAAGCAUAGAAUACCGAGUCUCAUAGUCGGUGAACUUCUUACUGAGGUAGUAGAUUGCAAAUUCUUUCUUUCCAGUCUCAUCUUGCUGACCAAGAACACAACCCAUUGUCGCAUUACGCGAAAAACCGGCGGGAAAAAAGACACAGAGCCGCCACCGUGCGUUAUUUAUCCCAAAGUAGGGAAAGGAAACGCUCGAAGUAAACCUGGAAAGGAAUGGUCUCACGACCAGAGAUUGAUAGGAUCGGGAGUCGGUUAUGCGAAGGGAAGGUAUUAGCACCCCUACGCAUCCAUCGUACUCGAAGGGAUCCACGCUCAAAAAGAAUAGAAGAAAGGUUGCUGAAUAAUUGCUCAAACACUGCACAAAACUGGAAGGAAACCCAGGUGAAAGACGGAAGAAACAGACUCGGCAGGAUAUCGCAUCCUGGGCCUACGUAGUUUGUCAGACACAAACAUCAGAGUCGACGUAGUUCGGGGACAUGGGAAACGUGCUCGCUAGAACAUCGCAUCCUAUGCAUACGUAUCUUCUCUGACCAGAGAAGAAUCAGAGCACUCGUAGCUCGGCUAACGCACGCCAAACAAAACACAAACAGGAAACCGACUGCCAAUUGCUGGACUUACGUCAGACUCCGAACAAAACAAACAAACGGGAAACCGAAUGCCAAUUGCUGGACUUACAUCAGACUCCAAACCAACAAACCACAUAGGAAACCGACUGCCAAUCGCUGGACUUACGUCAGACUCCACACAACACAAGGGGUUGAAAAGGAAAAAGGGCCCCGGAGAGAUCAGCUCAUCUCCUGCCUACGUACCUCAUCUGGUAUGAGGAUCAGGGCGACGUAGUUCCCCUUAACAGGGAAAGAACUUCUAUCCUAACCAGAGACUAGGGAGAUAACAAGCUACUAGGGAGACUACGACUCGAGCCUAGAAGUUGUCAUGCACACGAUCCCUAUGUUGAGGUCUCUAGUCCUAACUUGCACAGAAAACAAGCUAGCCUAAACAUCAAUCAAGUAAACACGAGCACAAGAGAGCAAGCACACACACUAUAUGCAAACAAAUGGCUCAUACAAGGCUGGGCUUUAGUCAAGGGGUCAUAUCAACCUCGACAAACAAGCCAACUGGAAAGGGGUGUUUUGAGCUCUUAACCCUAACAUUGAGAGUUAGGGUGAAGCAGAUGAAAUGGGAAGUGAGGGUAAGACCUCACAGCUCUUAUCCCUGGCCUGAGAGAGCUUGAAAUAAUGAAAGUGUGGGAGUCCAGAAUCAGGAACUCUACUCCACAAUGACUGACUCUAUGUACAAGAUUUUUGGUUUUUAUUCAAAAUGCAUCAAUACAUGGUGUGAGCAAUAUGAAUGACUCAACUGAAUAGCAGGGGAUGGAUUGCACAUCCCUUUUAUCUACCAAUGCCUCUUCACUUAGGAGGUCUUUGAAUGUACAAGGCACAAAGAUAAACAAACACAAACAUUGCCUCUUAAGGAGGGCUUCAGACAUGUGCCUGCCAAAGUAACAUGACAGGUCUUCCAGACUACAUGAAGAGUAGGAAUUUACCUCAGUGGUAUGCCGACCACAAGCAAAGCUAAGCAAAUCAAGCAAUGAGUUAAAGCUACUAAAGCACCUGUGUAAACAGCCAACCAAUCAGUCUGGUACUCAGACAAAUAGUCAACAGACAACAACAGUCAGACAACUAAUAUACACAACAAGUCAAGUCAACAAAUGGCAAACAAUCAAGUGAAUUCCUCUCCAAGGCCCCUACAACACAACAAGUCAAGUCAACAAAUGGCAAACAAUCAAGUGAAUUCCUCUCCAAGGCCCCUACAACACAACAAAUGUUAGUGAAGCACAUCAUUUUGCAUCUCAAUUUAUGAGAUCAACAUCAACCAUCAAGACUUAUCGCUUGCACCUGAAAUGCACAACUCAAAAUGUAAGUCCAAACCGCUAGGUCAAAGCCUAGGGUCAAAAGUGGGGAAAAAAUUCAAAAUAGAAGCUAAUACUCAACACAAAGCAACUUUAAUCAAUCAUGAACAUGUCCUAAAAAGGACCAAAUCAAAAGCAUUAGGCAAAUCUAUUUCAUGUGCAAGAGAAGGCAAAGGGCAAAUUCAAAGCUCACAAGUGAUCAUCAUGAAUGAAAAUUCCACAUCAAAACAGAAAUGACUCAAACAAUUCUGGAAAUUUUUGUGAGCAUUCAACACAUCCAAUACAAUCAUCAUACAAAAUAGAACAAAAGAGGUCAUGUUUUGAUGUGAAAUAAAAUUGCACAAGUUGAUCAUCAAAUUGUGUGACACACAUUGUCACACCAUACAAACAUGUGUAUAAAACAGAAAUGGCAAAUGAGAAAAAUAUCAAACCAAGCCUAAAAUGUCAAUCAACAUGUCAAGAAUCAUCAUGCAAAAUUUCAUGGCCAUUGGAUCAAUAUCAAGCAUUUCACAAUAGGAAGAAUGGAGCAAAGUCACAUAUGCACACAUGUUCAAUCAUCCUAACACAAUUCACAAUCCCGCCAUGCACAACUUCAGAAUUUAACAUCAUAAAAUAGAGGACAUCUCAAUGAACAAGUAGCAAAAAACCAGGGAUUAUUUGGAGCAUCUUUCAAUUUAUUAUAGAUUUUUGAAGUUGGCAUAAAAAUUUGAAGUCAAAUGAAUCAUGAACAUGUAAUUUGGAGGGAAAAGGAAGCAUGAGAAAUAAAUUUGAAAUAACGUAGCCACCAGGAAUCGAGCGAUGUCCAGAUUUAAAUGAAGCGCUGGAAAGAAAAUAAUAUCCAAAAACGUCACAGCAUGGAAUCGAAGUGAGGUAUAUGGAUCAAACGCAUUCUGUAGCGUGUUCUUCAACAAGAACCCUAACGCCAUGUGCAAGAACCAGACGGACGCAAAAACGGACGCUAGGCGGACGCUACAUCGUCUUCCUCGCGAAGACGAUGAUGAACAGUACGAAGCUCAAAUUUUUUUUCCCAGAAUUUCAAAAUAAGUACAUCAUUCGAAUCCUUAUUCCACGUAGGUUACAAAUCAAGCAUUAAUCCAGUCCAAAUCAUCACCAAUUGUGCAAAUCGAUCAAAAUAAAUUUGAUGCACCAAACUUCAAUCACACAUAUCUCACUCAAUAAUGCACCAUUUCACAUGAAAUUUCCAUCAGAUUUAUCAGCAACACAAGAUCUACGCUAUCAUGUUAAUAGAUUUAAGAAUUAUGAGAAAUGCACCAUUUCACAUGAAAUUUCCAUCAGAUUUAUCAGCAACACAAGAUCUACGCUAUCAUGUUAAUAGAUUUAAGAAUUAUGAGAUUCGAAAACUGAACCUCUUGAAGAUCAACUUCUGGAAACACACGAAUCGAGGCUUGCAAUGAUCCAAAUCAACUCCAGGAUACUUGCUAUGAUGUUUGAUGAAGAAAUUGAGGCUUGAAACUGUGUAGAUCUAGCUUAAAUCUCAACUGCCAUGGCAAUGUUCUUGAGCUUCAACUGCUUGAUUAUGGCUCCAAUUCUCCAAACAAAAGCUGGAUUCACACUCACUGAUCAUGAUUCUUCAAUAAAAUCCAGUUGCUAUGUUGAAGAAAUUUGAAUUUUGAUUAUGAGAAAAUUUUGGAGGGAGAGAGAAUUUUGAGAUCUAGAUCUUGAAUCCCCCUUAAUUCUGUUAUGGUUAUCAAUAUAUAUGCUUCACUAAUCACAUACUAAUUAAAAUUAGGCAUGGUUUAGUUGUGAUUAAUCAAGAUAAGGCGUUAUAACCAAAACUUGAAAAUUGGAGGGUGCAUGGCUAUUUCCAACGUGAACAGUACCAUGCGGCUGAUUAAUUUCACUCAAAAUCAUCUUCCAAACACAAUGGUAAUGGUAAAAAGUCCCCAUGAUGCACCAUUUUGAAUUGGCCAUUUUCCCUCCAAAAUUGACUUGAAAUAGCAAAUGAUCCUAUGAUGAGUUUUCAUGCAAUGUAAUGCAUGUUUUGGAAACUUCAUAACAUGAGAAGAAAAAUGCAAGAAGAGCCACUCAAUUUGGAGUUAUGAAUCAAAAGAUAUGGCCAUUUGAAGUUCCAUGCACACUUGGCAAUGAUUGGAACAUAUCUCCUCAACCAUUCAUCAGAUGCAUGAGAAGAAAAAUGCAAGAAGAGCCACUCAAUUUGGAGUUAUGAAUCAAAAGAUAUGGCCAUUUGAAGUUCCAUGCACACUUGGCAAUGAUUGGAACAUAUCUCCUCAACCAUUCAUCAGAUGCUCAUGAUCUUGGACUUUUUGGAAAUGGGAGAAAGAGAUCUUCAACUUUCAUGUUGGACAAAAUUUCAUUUGAAGCUUCUUUGAUGUUGGAAAGUCAAGUUGGAGUUGGUCCAAAAACUUGCCAUUUUUGGAAACUUGAAAUUACAGGUCACUUUCCAUUUUUGGAAACUUUUGAUCUGGGUUCAAAACCUUCAAGGUCUGAGUUUGACAUGUUGAAUAAACCUCUUUGGGACAUGAAUGAAGUGUCUCAAACCAUUUCUCCAUCUCCUAGCCCUCAGUUGAUUUGCAGUUGACUUUUAUGGGGCCCAGAUGUCCUGAAACUGCACUGUGAACUUUGAGCUUUCAACACUUGGCCAAAUUGCAUCAAAAUGAACCUUGGGUUCACACAAGCUCUCUAGAACAACCAUAGGGCCUUUUUUUCAUGAAAAUGCUCGCUCUCUUGCACAGAUGACUUCUCCUGACCAGUUUUGACUGAUGAAAUGUAAGGUACUAUGCAAUGUUAAUGUAAUGUUAAUGUCCUAAAAAAUGUUAAUGCAAUGUCGAUGACCUAAAAAUGAAAUGAAUGUAAAAAAUGGAGGGUGCAAAUUUGAGGUGCUACACCCAUACUAUCUUCAAGCACAGUCAAAUACAUGAUCAACAGUCUUCCUUCAACAGGUGGAGACAAUAUCGGAGGUUCAAGCAAAUAUUCUUUGAUACUGUCAAAAGCUUUCUGGCAGUCUUUGGUCCAGUCACAAGACUGGUCUUUCCGAAGAAGCUUAAAUAUAGGCGCACUUGUGGUAGUCAUGUGGGAAAUGAAUCUGGAAAUAUAAUUCAAGUGGCCAAGAAAACCUCUGACUUGCUUCUCAGUUUUGGGCGCAGGCAUCUCUUGUAUUGCUUUGACCUUGGCACGAUCAACUUCAAUACCAUUCUCGCUGAUAAUAAAGUCCAACAACUUACCAGAACGAACACCAAAAGUACACUUAUUGGGAUUCAAGAGGAGUUUAUAUUUCCUCAAACGCUGGAGUAGCUUCAACAAAUGCUCAACAUGUUCCUCUUCAUCAAUUGAUUUAGCAAUCAUAUCAUCAACACAUACUUCAAUCUCUUUAUGCAUCAUAUCAUGAAAAAGAGUAGUCAUUGCUCUUUGGUAAGUUGCACCAGCAUUCUUUAAACCGAAAGGCAUCACUCUAUAACAGAAUGCUCCCUAAGGUGUAAUGAAUGUGGUCUUCUCCAUAUCUUUGGGUGCCAUCUUGAUCUGAUUAUAUCCGGAAAAUCCAUCCAUAAACGAAAUGACUUUGAAUUUAGCAAUAUUAUCUACCAAUGUAUCAAUGUGUGGUAGAGGGAAAUCAUCUUUCGGACUGGCUUUAUUCAAAUCUCGAUAGUUGACACACAUGCGGACUUUUCCAUCUUUCUUCGGCACAUGCACAAUAUUGGCCACCCAUUGCGGAUACUCAUCGGUCAUAAGGAAACCGAUGUCAAUCUGCUUCUGCACUUCCUCUUUGAUCUUCACAGCCAUAUCAGGAUGCGUUCUUCUCAAUUUCUGCUUGACUGGCGGGAAUUCUGGCUUCAACGGUAAUCUAUGCUCCACAAUCUUAGAAUCUAAACCAGGCAUGUCUUGAUAGGACCAAGCAAACACAUUUGAAUACUCUCGAAGAAGAUCAAUUAACCCCUUCUUGACAUCUGGACACAGUCGAGACCCAAUCUUGACUUCCUUCACAUCAUCCUCGGAACCCAAGUUGAUUAGCUCAACCUGCACUUUGAACGACUGAAUGGUCUUCUCAUCUUGCUCAAGAAGACGAGAUAAUUCAUCACUCACUUCUACGUCACUUUCCUCCUCGGCCUCAAACACAGGGAAUUCAAAAUUUGGAGAAGGAGAAGGAUCAUUGUAUUCAAUGGGGUUAGGAACCAAACCGGCAUAUGAAUUGAAUUUGAUUUUAGAGAAGCGAAUUUGUGACCAAAUAAUUUGAAGGAGAAGGGCAUCCAAAAUGCAGCGAAAUUAAAAAAAACUCCUUUAGUGAUCCUUACGAAUGGCAUGAUCAGUGAUAGAAUCGUUACCUCUUGUGACGAUUGAAACCUUUGAUGCAGAUCUACGGCGUCACAAUGUUGAACGAUGACAACGCUCUACUCAGUCCACACGACGAUUCCUUAAUCUUAGUGCUAGCUGCUACGAAUGAAGGUUUGAGUGAGAGGAGAAGAAGGAAACGAAAUUGCAACUGCCAUAAUGCUUUUGCACAAGGGUCUAUUUAUAGACCACUUAUGUGGGCUCAAGCAGAAAAGCCACUUAAGUGUAUGUGCCAUAUUUUAUAAUAUGCCAAAAUCACUAAGCGCGUAGUACCUUACCAUAUUUCGUAAUUCUACUUAAGUACACCGUACCUUACGAUGUUCUACAAUUCACUUAAGUGCACCGUACCUUACGGUGUUCCUUAGUUACUCUAUCUCUCAUCAAUCCGUCCUUUGUGUGUGACCCUGUAGGUUUUUGCGGUAUUGACAAUUAUAUUAAAUCAGUAUUUAACAUGAUAAACAGUGAGCGGUAUCUAGAAACACAUCACUGCUACCCAAGACACGAAAAUGUCAUGUGAUCUGACAAAUCCUUAUGUGAUAAUAUUUAUGUGUAUAGUUACCCUUUUGCCCUUAUGUCUAUAUUGAACACAAGGCAUAGACCGUGUCAUCCUUGUCCAAUUCAAUAUUGGGCCCAUAGACAUUUAUCCUGUUACGCAGAAUGGGCAAACUCCAUCUCGGUCACUCAUGUCCCUUAGCAUGCUUCAUGGAGUACCCAUCAACUGUCUUUAUGGUCAUCCAGUUACGGACAACGUUUGAUCUGCAACAAGGCACUCGACUCUACAUCUAGGGUCCAUAGUGGUUUCAGGUCGAAGGGUGGUAUACACCAUUAUCACCAUGAGAAUAACUUAUGACACUUUUCAUAACAUUCUAUAUAGUAUUCUCAUAGCGGGUCAAUCCAGUAUAAAUAUUACUCUUAAUAUUCAUACCUAUGUUUAAGACUUGAUAACUCCUUAUCCAUGAUCCAUGAGAUGUGAUCAUCAGUCUAUAUACAUAAUAGUCUUAAUGCUUUAAUGUUAUCCCACUUCACAAUAAAGCUCGACUACAUAGGAUACUUUAAGAAUAGUGUCCUUAUGUUUAAUGUGAUCUCAUGAUUAAGUCAUACUUGAUACAUUAAACGGACUAGCUAUUCUAGGGACUUUAUUAAACAAACAUAAUAAAGAAAAAGCCUUUUAUUAUUAAUAAAUAAUUCGAUACAAAUACUAAAAGUAUUGGCCUCUAGGGCUUACACCAACAAUAUUAUGCAAAUGGAUAAUUAUAUUGUUUAUUUAUGUUUUUUGUGAUUACCAUUUUCAGAAUAAAGCAAAAAGUAAAAACAAAACAUCAUAGAUGUGGAUGAAUAGAAUUAAUUUUAUUAAUGAUCAAUUUGGAAAUGCCCAAACAAUGUUCACUUCUCCCUUAGGCAUAAGAUAAGGAUUUUAAAAACAUAUAAAAGCAAUUACUUAGAUCGAUACAAAAUAACAUGAAUAUCAACAACAAUCCAAUUGUCGCAAGCCUUUCCAUGCGUCACAAAAUUGGUGCAGUCUUCCCCUUCGUAAUCCUCUAGCACAAUAGCUAAGUGUUGUUCAUUGCCAUGAAUGAACCCUUCGCUAUGAAAGCUAAGUUGCAUAUCUUCAGUCCUUGCAGUUGAUGAACCUUUCUGGAACCCCAAAUCGGUUCUGCCUUUGUUGUCGGAGACCUCUACCAUGCGCCCCCACUGAUCAACACUGCCUUCUUCCACAAUCUUCUUGGCAUCUUUCAAUGAGGACAUAGGUGCCCCCAACUCUCUUUUCAGCAGCAAUAGAUAAGGCUUGGAACGGAGUUCCAACCUCAUCCUCAGCUUCAAUGUAAGAGAAAGGUGACAAAUGGCUAACCAACAACGCCUUCUCUCCAUCGACAAUCACAAGCUUCCCAUUCUUCACAAAUUUGAGCUUCUAGUGCAAAGUGGAGGUAACAACUCCUGCCUCAUGGAUCCAGGCCUUCCCAACAAGCAACUGUAGGCCGAGUGGAUAUCCAUUACUUGCACUACGCCAAAAACUGGAAUAGACAGCGCACCUUAGAGGGCGCUUUCUUAAAGAAGCGCACUCUAAAGUGAAGAGAAAAAAUAAGGAGCGAACAAUUGGAAUAGACAACGCACUUUAGAGGGCGCUUUUGUAACAAAGCGCCCUCUAAAGUGAAGCGAAAAAAUAAUGAGGAAAUGGAGGGACACCAAUAGAGGGCGCGUUUAUGAAAGCGCCCUCUAAGGGUACCCUUAGAGGGCGCUUUUAAAAAAGCGCUCUCUAAGUCCAUGUACAUUUCCAGUUUAUAAGGCGCUUUUGGAAAGCCUUAGAGAGCGCUUUAAGAAGCGCCCUCUUAGGCCCCCUUUAGAGGGCGCUUUUUUUACACAAGCGCCCUCUAAGGUCCCCUUUAGUAAACAUUAAAAUUAUAACAUAUACUGCAUGUCUCUUUAUUUUCCCUCUCUAUAAGCUAUUUCGUUUACGUAACUGGGUUUUCUCUCUACUGCGAUUACUCUCUACUGCGAUUACUCUCGUCCUCCGUUCGUUCUCCCUCCCUCACCGUCAUCGUCGCCGUCGCCUUUUUCUGCUGCUGCGUUCACGUUCACUGAGUUAUCUGCGUCCACCGUCACUGUUCACUUUCUUCUCCAUCGUUACCGUCACCUUGAAGGUAUUUCUCUUCUCCAUCGUUACCGUUCACUUUCUUCAUGUGUUUGAUUAGGGCAUUUUCUAAACUUAGUUUUACAUUUUGUGCAUUAUGUUGAUUAAUGUUGUUUAGGGCAAACUGAGUUUUUUAUUUCUGAUUGAAAACUGAUAUAUUUGAAGUGUGUUUGAGCUUGUGCUUGGAAGUUUGAUGAUUAUGGAUGCAAGUUUGUUCAUGUUCCAAACACCAUAAGUUUGCAUUGGUCUUUUGUAUGCAGUAGGUGUGUGUGAGUUUGUAUUCAAUAAUGAUAAAAAAAAAAGAGUUUAGAUUGUUGUAACAUGAGAGAAAUGGAAGGUAUAUGAAUGUGUUCACGUAUUGAAUCAUUGUCUUACUUGGGUCUUAUUGAAUCAUUUCUAUAUUACAGAUAAAAUGGCUAACCAAGACGAUACCCAUGACGCGAAUGGAUCACGUAACAAUGUUGAAAAAGAAAUCAAACGAGGAUUGACUGUUAUGAAGUCAAUCAUUCGUGCAAGAGACAAGGGUGUAAAAUUUGAAGUACAUUGGAGUGCUGAAGACCAACUAAUUGAGCCUAACGGUUCAAUGUUGGCAAGUUACAUUGGUUUCCUUGUUCGACAACAUAUUCCGAUUACAUGUGAUAAUUGGAGAAGUCCGGAAUUGAAGGUUGGCAAAGAAAAAAUAUGGUCGGAGAUACAGGUACUUACCAUAUAUUGUUAUAUGUUUUUUUUGUUGACUAUUUGUUGACCAUAUAUUGUUAUAAUAUUACUUUAUAAUAACACACUCCAUGUGUAUGUUUUUUAGAGAUCCUUUCACAUCGAUGAAAGCCGGCAAAAAUAUUGUAUUCAAUUGGCCGGAAAAAGACUCCGAGGAUUUCGAUCCUUUUUGUCCAACAAAUUUCUCAAGGAUGAGGAAGGAAAAUUUGUUGAAGCAGAACGGCCAAUGAAGUAUGCGGAGAUUAUUUCAGCCGAAGAAUGGGAUAACUUUGUCGCCAAACGAAGAAACGAAAAAUUCCAUGUAAUGUCUAUUAAUUAUGGUAUUAUACAAUUGUUAAGUUACUUGGUUCUAAUAUGCCUUAAACUUUUUUAUCCAGGAAGUAAGCGACAAAAAUCGGAAAAGGGCAUCAAAACCCGCGUAUCCGUACAAAAAAGGGCGUACGGGAUAUGCACGGUUACAACAAAGAAUUGUGAGUAUAUUCAAAUGCUAUGAGCUUAUACAUUGUCACAAUAUGUUAUAAUUGAUGAUCUUAUAAUCUAAUUCAAUGUGUAGCUAGCCGAGGAGAAAAGUGACGCAACAUCUCUUCCGGAGCACGUAUUAUGGAAGGCUGCUCGGGUUGGGAAGGAUGGGGCUGUCGUUGAAGCGGUCCAAAAUGUUUAUGACGAAUGUGUAAGUAUAUGUAACAUUAUUUCUUUAAUUAUAUCGAAAAUUUUGUUAGACAUAUAAUUCAUUUUUAAUCUCCUCUAAUAAUAUUUCAGGAGACUUUAUCCCAAACCUUACCUUCAACCGAGGUCCAGGAUUGCAGGAGCGUACUUAGUCGAGUACUAAAUGUUCCUGAGUAUUCCGGUCGUGUGAGGGGUAAGGGUUUUGGUGUGACUCCGUCGUCAUUUUAUAAAAAACCAAAAACAAAAAAUCCUACCAACAAAGAGGUGAUGGAGACCUUGGCGGAGUUAAGGGCACAAGUACUCCAACUGCAAAACGAGAAUGCAAGGUAUAGAGAGGAAAGGUGCGCUUCCGAGGCAAAAGAUACUAGUGACCGAGCUAGUAUCAAUCAUCAACCGAAAUUUCCCGAGGUAAUUAUAUAUGUUAUUAUGAAAUUAAAAUAGCACUUUUUUACUUGACACAUAUACAAGUUAACAAUAACAUUUAUUAUUGGUUUAGGGCAUUUCACCUUGUCAGCUGUAUCUAUCGUCACCAACUUAUCGCAUGGUUGGCAAGGGAAAAGUGCACAAUACUUCGGGUGAAUUACUUCACCAUAAUCCCCUCCCGGUGGGAUUUAUGAAAGUUUCGGUUGACCUCGUAUUAGAUACGGACGCCCGUCUACCAUUACCCGACGUUGUUUCAGAGACAACGUUGAUGCGAGAUGCAGUCGGAUCCUUUGUUGGUUGGCCGUCAGAUCUAAUUUUCCCUGAUGCCGAGGUAUAUAUGUUCUAAAUGAUUAUGAAUAUUUAGUAUUCACAUUUCAAUUCAGCUACAAUUAUGAUAUUUAAUCAAUCCUUAUUACAUGGUAAUGUUAGACUCCUACAAGACCCACACAUAAAGCUGGUAAAGGGAUUUCAAGACGCAUCGAGUCGGUUGCAUCUCAAAAAGAGGUACAAAUAUAUAUACCCAUUGAAUUAUAUACGCAACGAUUCUGUUGCAUCACAAAAAGUCAUGAUUUAAUUUAUAUGAAUUUUUAGGUUCCCGGUCGAAAGUUGAAAAAAGCUGGUAAGGAUAUUCCAACGACGUCCGGGACAAAAUCUCAAAUUAUGAUGCGUCUUGAGAAAAUGGUGGAAGAGUCCGAUAUUAUGCACGGCGCCAUCCGUAGUGUAGAUUUUGAUGAAGGUGUUUUCGGAAUUGCUCAUUCCGAAAUAAUUGCAAAGGAGGACAUGCAACAACUUUUUGAACACGAAGAAUUGGGCAUCGCUGUCAUUCAUACAUACAUAUGGUACUCCGAUCAAUCUAUUAUUUACUUAGUUGAACAAUUUAUUUACACAUUUCAAUGAGUAGUCUAAUGUUUAUUAUGUUUCUAUUUAAGGUAUAUGUAUGUAACAUUGAUGCGGGGAACUGAAUUGUGUAACCGUUUCAAUUUUAUUGCUGCUUCCCGUAUCAACGCAACGUUAAUAACGAAAAAUCCAACAUCCGUAAAGAAUGAUCUAGUCGAUAGAUUCAUGGCGGCCGGCGAUAAUACUACACCCAGUUUGUAUUUUUUACCGUUUAAUUCUGGCAACGGGUUAGAUUUUCUUUCUAAUAAUUUCAUUCUAAUCUAUGUAUAUCUUUUACGUAGAAAAUUUUCAUGCAUCUAAAUUUUUGUUUUAUUUUACAGUGGUCACUGGGUGUUGGUUGCUAUGGAUCUUUCGAGACUAAUGGUGUAUUAUCUCGAUUCGUUAUCGGGUGAUUGGAGUAAAUAUCCGAGUAUGAAGAAGACGGUUGACGCGUAAGUGAAAUUCCCCUAAAUAUUCGUGUGUAUUUGUAUAUUUAAUUAUGUCUGUCAGAUUGAUCUCAAUAUACGUUUUUAUUUUGUUAGGGCAAUACUAAAAUUUAGAUCGAAAAAGAAUUAUCGUAAUAGGAAGGACAUUACCUGGGUCAGAGUUCAGGUAUAUAUUAAGUAUCUUAUUUUUGCUUAUAAUAGUGUUUGUUUUUUUGCUUAUAAUAGUGUUUGUAAGAAAUUAACUAUAUAUAUAUUGUUUGUUUUUCUGUGUAGUGUCCUCAGCAAAAUAAUUCGGUCGAUUGCGGAUUUUUUGUAUUGAGAUUUAUGAGAGAUAUCAUUGCGUUGAAUCGUAUAGACAUCCCAAAAAUGGUAUGGAAUAAUAACUUAGGGUUUAUUUUAAUAUUAUCGGAUAUUUCAUCUAAUUUGUUACUAAAUCAUGAAUAUGUUUUAUUCUCUUAAUUGUAGUACUUUGAGGAAUACAAAUCUUACUCAAGAGCUCAUUUGGAUGAAAUGAAGGAUGAAUUGUGUCAAUUCAUUGUUGAUCAAAGAAUCAUAUAGCUAGGUUGUAUAUUGUUGUACAUAUAUGUAUGGAAUGUUGUUGUUGUAUGCUGUUGUUGUAUAUAUGUUGUAUAUUGUUGUUGUACUUUUACUAAAUCAUGAAUAUGUUGUUGUAUAUUGUUGAUCAAAGAAUCAUAUAUUAAUGUUGUAUAUAUGGAGGAUUAAUGUUGUAUAUAAAUGGAUUCAUGUUGUAUAUAUCAAUGGAUUAAUGGUGUAUAACAUUGGAUUAAAGGAUGAAAUCAAUAUGAAUUUUACACUUUUGCAGCAUGCGAACAGGUUACCAAUUAAAUAUCCACUGUUUUUCAAACAAAUUUUUUUAAAAUAACUAACACUUUAGAGGGCGCUUUCUGUAGGAAGCGCCCUCUAAACACUUUACAUUGACAACUUUAGAGGGCGCUUUGUCCAGAAAGCGCCCUCUAAACACUUUACAUUGACAACUUUAGAGGGCGCUUUUUCCAGAAAGCGCCCUCUAAAGUGUCCCUUUAUGGACCACUCCAGAGGGCGCUUUUUUCAUAAAGCGCACUAUAAUGUGGGCCUUUAGACAGCGCUUUCUCCAGGAAAACAAAGCGCUGUCUUUACCUAUGCCAGCGCCACUUUAGAGGGCGCUUAAAAGCGCUGUUAUAGGCCAAAAUAAGCGCCCUCUUUUCCCUUAUUUCGCGUAGUGUUGAAAAGUAAUUUGAAAAUCACUCGGACCUAUCUUAAUUGGAAGGUCCACUUCACCAAUAACUGUCUUGCGCGAACCAUCAAAAGCUUUGACGAUUACGCCGCUAUACCUCAUAGGCGCUCCUUGGUAUGAUAGCUUUGACAGAGUUGACUUCGGAAGCAUAUUCAGUGAUGACCCGGUGUCAACAAGCACAUUUGACAAAGCAUCCUCUUUGCAAUUCAUAGAAAUGUGCAAAGCCAGAUUAUGAUUUCUUCCCUCCUCAGGGAGUUCUUCAUCACAGAAGCUAAGAUUUUUGCAAGAAGUGAUGUUAGCCACGAUAUGAUCGAAUUGAUCCACUAUAACAUCAUGUUCUACAAAAGCUUAUUCCAGAACUCUCUGCAGUGCUUCUCUGUAUGCUUCAGAAUUCAUGAGCAGAGACAACACUGAGAUCUUUGAGGGGGUUUGGAGCAGCUGCUCCACCACAUUAAACUCACUUCUUUUAAUUAACUGAAGUACCUCAUCAUCAUCGUUGGCCUUCACAUUGAUGGAUUCACCAGACUUACCCUUUGAAGCACCAACUGGAUCUACAAUAGGCACUUCUACCUUCUUUCCAACAACUGGUUCCUCCUUAUCUUUUGGGAACACCGGCCUAAACACACGACCACUACGGGUCACCUUGGUAACAUCAGCAAUGCUCACCACUGAGCUAGUCGUAGGCAACGGGACCUCUUGACCACCUUCUAUCAUUGUAGCAUUAUACUGAUACAAUACAGCUUUAUCAGAUGGAUAUGAGACUGGACUUGUUAACUGUAUUACCAACAACGAUACUGAUCUAUUGCUGACACUAUUACUGUUGUUGCUGUCGUACUGGAUUACCAAUCUCUCUGGCUGCUUGAAAAUGGGAACUAUGACAUUUACAUCAUCAUCUACAUGACGGGAUUGAACAAUCUGAAUCAUUCCUUCAUCCAUCAGUCGUUGGAUGUCCCUUUUCACAACUUCAUAACCCCUCGGGUUAACACUACAAACAGCACAACCAUCAUGGUCAUGCUCACAAUCACUUACCAAACAAACAUCCUUAUGCAUAUGCACCAAGGACCUCCUUAUAAAACGCAAAUCAAAAACUUUAAACUCGCCAGGACAACCAUCCACCAUAUUCACAAAAGAGUUCCCAUGAGCGAGCAACGGGUUUGCUUUCACAUUCGGCGCACGGUCCUCGAAGGACACCAUUCCACUCUUCAUCAGCUUUUGAACCUCAUACUUGAGCGGGUAACAGUUCUCGAUAUCAUGUCCGGGUGCUCCUUGAUGAAAAGUACAACGGAGCUCAGGUUUGUACCACCAUGGAAGUGAUUCUAGAAUCUAUGGCAGGUUUCUUGGUUGGAUCAGGUUCUUGAGAACCAAAGACGGAUAUAUUUCUGCAUAAGACAUGGGAAUCGGGUCGAAAGAGACCUUUUUCCUCUCAAAGUUUUGUUGAUGAUGAUUGUUGUUGGUAUUGUUGUUGUAGGUGUUUGCUCGUUGUUGCGGUUGUUGUUGUUGACAUUGUGGUUGUUGAACUGGUGUUGAUUGUUGAUUAGAAAAUACUGGGAUAACGGAAGAUACUUGGUGAUGCUGAUGAUGGGAUGAUUGAUUCCUUCUGAUCUGAGGCCUCCUCUGCCUCCCACUACUUAAUGCAUUCGCUUCAUUGUCCUUCUCCUUGCUGAAACUGCUGUCAUAUCUCUUGCUUGUCGAUGCCUCAUCCUUCGACAAACGUCCCUCUCGGACUCCUUCCUCAACCCUCAUCCCCAUGUUUACCAUUUCGAUAAAGUCACUGUGGGCACUAUCAAUCAUUCGUUCAUAAUAAAAUGAACUCAGGGUUUUCAGAAAGAUCUUUGUCAUCUCUUUUUCCUCCAAAGGAGGAGUGAUUUGGGCAACCAAUUCCCUCCAUCUCUGCGCAUACUCUUUAAAUGUCUCCUUAUCUUUCUGAGACAUAGACCUCAGCUGGUCUCUAUCAGGUGCCAUGUCCACGUUGUACUUAUACUGUUUGAUAAAAGCCUCUCCCAGGUCAUUGAAAGUAUGAAUGCUGGCACUAUCCAACCCCAUUUACCAACGAAGCGCGACACUAGUCAGACUAUCCUGGAAAUAAUGAAUCAACAGUUGAUCAUUAUCGGUCUGAGUAGACAUCUUGCGAGCAUACAUCACUAGAUGACUGAGCGGACAAGUGUUUCCUUUAUACUUUUCAAAGUCAGGCACUUUGAACUUCAUCGGGAUUUUGACGCUGGGCACUAAACACAACUUAGCAACACUCUUUCCAAACAAAUCCUUACCUCUUAGCGUCUUCAAUUCCUUGCGCGGCUCAAGAAACUGAUUUUUCAUUUCAUCCAUUUCUCGUAGACAUCCGGAUCCUUAGAUGGCUCGGAAUGAUAAAUGGUGUCCUCUACACGAGGUAAGGUGUGCACAAUGGGAGGUGGCACAAACAUGACCGGGCUAGAUGCCGGCAUGGAAGCAAAGGUAGGCGCAAAGCCUUCGGGCAUAAAGUUGGACGACAUUCCCCACGGGAAUUCGACAGGCAUAGUAGGCGCAAAAUGAGCGGUAGCAGCAGGCAUGGUAGAGGUAGCCACCUCUAAAAUAACCGUCCUUGCAGGAAAAGUUGUAGGUGUUGGAGAAGAUUGACUAUGAGCAGCAAGAACUGACUCCAUCAUGGCAGUCAGGCGGGCGAUCUUGUCCUUCAGCUCUCUAUUCUCUUGCUCUAGAUGCUCCAUAAUUCUGAGAUGAUUACCGCGGGUGUUGUACCGAUGAGUCAGCUUGGCUAAAGCACAUAAGAAACACCAAUGAGACAUCUGGCGAAAGAUAAACCUGCUUAUGCAAAUGAUGCAUGAAAUGCAAUGCUUGUUUAUUUUUUUUUGUUUUCAAGGAACUUACUAUAUCAUUUACAAACAUAUAUAUAUAUAUAUAUAUAUAUAUAUAUAUAUAUAUAUAUAUAUAUAUAUAUAUAUAUAUAUAUAUAUAUAUAUAUAUAUAUAUAUAUAUAUAUAUAUAUAUAUAUAUAUAUAUAUAUAUAUAUAUAUAUAUAUANNNNNNNNNNNNNNNNNNNNNNNNNNNNNNNNNNNNNNNNNNNNNNNNNNNNNNNNNNNNNNNNNNNNNNNNNNNNNNNNNNNNNNNNNNNNNNNNNNNNNNNNNNNNNNNNNNNNNNNNNNNNNNNNNNNNNNNNNNNNNNNNNNNNNNNNNNNNNNNNNNNNNNNNNNNNNNNNNNNNNNNNNNNNNNNNNNNNNNNNNNNNNNNNNNNNNNNNNNNNNNNNNNNNNNNNNNNNNNNNNNNNNNNNNNNNNNNNNNNNNNNNNNNNNNNNNNNNNNNNNNNNNNNNNNNNNNNNNNNNNNNNNNNNNNNNNNNNNNNNNNNNNNNNNNNNNNNNNNNNNNNNNNNNNNNNNNNNNNNNNNNNNNNNNNNNNNNNNNNNNNNNNNNNNNNNNNNNNNNNNNNNNNNNNNNNNNNNNNNNNNNNNNNNNNNNNNNNNNNNNNNNNNNNNNNNNNNNNNNNNNNNNNNNNNNNNNNNNNNNNNNNNNNNNNNNNNNNNNNNNNNNNNNNNNNNNNNNNNNNNNNNNNNNNNNNNNNNNNNNNNNNNNNNNNNNNNNNNNNNNNNNNNNNNNNNNNNNNNNNNNNNNNNNNNNNNNNNNNNNNNNNNNNNNNNNNNNNNNNNNNNNNNNNNNNNNNNNNNNNNNNNNNNNNNNNNNNNNNNNNNNNNNNNNNNNNNNNNNNNNNNNNNNNNNNNNNNNNNNNNNNNNNNNNNNNNNNNNNNNNNNNNNNNNNNNNNNNNNNNNNNNNNNNNNNNNNNNNNNNNNNNNNNNNNNNNNNNNNNNNNNNNNNNNNNNNUAUAUAUAUAUAUAUAUAUAUAUAUAUAUAUAUAUAUAUAUAUAUAUAUAUAUAUAUAUAUAUAUAUAUAUAUAUAUAUCAACAAUUGCAAUAAUUUUUGUAUGACCAAAAAUCUCUUUUCAUUUAUAUAAUUGGAAGGAUUCCACUGAGUACAAUUUCAGAAACCAAAUGAAAAAUACAAGAGAAAAGGAGACUAGUCAUCCUAAGGAUCCCUAACAAUGUCAGAAAAUCUGGCUGAAGGCGUGUACUUCCUUCGAAUGCAUCGAAUCUCGGUCUCAAAAGAAGCCUUCAUCUGUGUCUUCUCAAGAACAAGCUGAUCAAUAAUCUUCUUCCAAGAAACGGAAGGCUGAGGCAUGCUAGAAGAUGAAACCUCUAGCUCUCUCUAUCUCUUCGUCACUCGGUCUUCAAGUAGCUCAAUAAGUGCAUCUUUGUCCUUAGACUCCAACUGCAACUCUUCAUGCUUCUUGCUCAAAGCAUGGAAACUCUCUUCCCACAUAUCCUUCUCUUGCUUCAUCUUGAUGAGUGCGUCUUCCAACUCCUCUACAUCCUGGUUAGGGAGAGUUAAUGGCUCAACCACAACCAUAGACACAGGUCUUUCACAAGGAUAAGUCAUCUUCAACUCCAAAGCUCUCUUCUUCACCCAAAGAGUGUAAGCUUCCAAAGCUACAUAAUUGCAUGGACCAAGCUCGGAUCUUCCUUUCCUAUGCACAUUAUGCCAAGCAUGCACAAUCUUCUCUUCAAAUGUUGGGGAUUUUUCCUCUCUUGAUAGAAAAGACCUUCUAACAAAGUGUUAUUAGGUUUGUCUCUCAAGGGGAACCCAAGUUGACGACGAGCUAAAGCAGGGUUGUAGUUAAUUCCUCCUUGUGUACCAAUGAGAGGCACAUUAGAGAAUUCACCACAACUAUCAAUAAUCUCCAAACUGCUCAAAGAAGGAUCAUACCAAACUAUAUCAUCAUUAGUGAGAGACAUAAGUCUCUGAGACCACCUUAGACAUUGUUUGUUCUCGACAAAAGCAGGCGUCUGAGGCAAGUGCAAAAUAAACCACUUGUGCAGAAGAGGAAUGCAACAGACAAUGGUUCCACCACCCUUAGAAUUCCUUAGAUGCAAAGAGAAAUACAUAUCACCCAAUAAAGUAGGUACAUGAUUCCCAAUCAAGAAAAGUCUAAUGGCGUUAACAUCAACAAAACCGUCGAUGUUAGGGAACAAAGCUAAUCCAUAAAUGAGCAAUACAAGGAUAGCUUCAAAAGCGUCCACACUACCAGCUUGAGCAAAAGUAGUAGCUUCCUUGAUGAGGAAAUCAAAUGGCAACCCAAACAAUCCUCCUUUCUUCACCCAAUAAGCCUCUAUCUCAGACUUCUUCAAGUGAAGAGCUUCAGCAAUAAUACUAGAUCGGGGAAUCUCCUCCAAUCCACUAAAAGGUACUCUACUAGAAACAUGUAUCCCCAAAAGAUGAGAAUACUCCUCCAAGGUAGGCACAAGCUGAAAAUCUGGGAAAGGAAACAACGGUAGAGAGGAUCAUAGAACUGCACCAAUACACUCAAGAGUCCUUCAACCACAUCAACAGAUAAGAUAGACAAUAGCUUCCCAUGACGUUGUUUGAAGUCCAAGGGAUCUAAUACAAAAGAUGCUAGCUUCCUUAACUCUUUCAAGUCGGGGCAUCUGAAACUGUACUUCUUAGUGUUCCUUCAUCCAUAAUUCAUGGUCUGAAAAUAUUUGCAAAUAAUACCUCAGUUCCUUGAAAUUUUCGUGUGAUGAAUGUUAUGAUGCGCAUGAAUGCAUGAAUGCAACAAUCACAAAUAAGAGAUCACACACAAGGCAAAAAAAGGUCAAGGUAUGAAUCAAGUCAUUGUCAAGAUCAAUCAUCCAUUUUGGUGGAUUAUGGUUUACACCUUAUCAACACCCAAGUUCCAUUGAUAUUGACAAGACUUGAUCAAGGUUGUGCAAGUCGGCAUGAGUCUGCGCGUAAAACAUCCCAAAGGAGUGACUAAGGUAUAAAACCGUGUAGAUCAUGUUCUAAAGCAGUCCCAGAGUCUUAAUUCCAUCUAUCGUAUUAAGGUUAAGAUGAGAGAAACUCGUCUGAGUGUAGUAUCGCGUAACAACUGUUAUCAAGUCUACACUUGAACAGUUUCCGCACUACGUCCUAAAUAGGCCAAGAGGGGGUAAAUGUUCUACGGUCCUCAGCUUCCAGACCCAAAUUAGAGAUAGUAAUGCCUAACCACAAAUACUUGUGUGACAUUUCCAAAUCCAAAAGAGUCUCCACUGAGCAGAUGGAUCUCAAGCCAACUUGUUAAGGACUACUCUAUACAAGUCGAACAUGACUAUACCAUCCUCCUAUCUUAAUUGCACUCAAGUUCGGGUUAGAACUUAUAUCACCACUUAGGGAUCACCAAGCACAACAAGCAUAUUAUAUCACACAUACAUAUAUACAAACAUCACAUAUAUACAAAUAUAUACACACAAAAAUUAGGCUAAACCCACUGGAGACUACUCCCCAGCAGAGUCGCCACUUAAUUUCUGUAGCGGUAAAUUCAUGAUCAUCAAGCUAUGGAUAAGCUAGAGAUCAAAUAAUAAGAGUCGCCAUCAUGCUUUUACUAUUUCCAAAGGAAAAAGGGAAAAAGUACGAACAAAACCCAAUAGUAAGAAGUUUUCAAAUCAAAACUAAUAAAAUGUCAGAGAUUACAGGUAAGGGGGUUGGUUACACAGAGGGAAGGUGUUUCGUGGGUUUCACAGGAAGGUACUCCUAGGGAGCCCUUUUUGUGUGCAUAUGUAUUUGGUACAAAAAUGAUGUUUACAAACAAAUAGAAUGGGGGGAUGAGAAAAAGAAUUCAUUAAUUAUAUUUUUGUGUUUGGCAAGACCUUCGGUCUUGUGCCCAUAUACCAACAUAAAAAUGAGGGAUUAAAACCUCGUAGUUCGUGAUACAAAUUUCAAAGUGGAUGCAUUGCUUUUAACAAAAAUUAAGUUAGAAAGGCACAAAGGCUUAAAAAUGGUUUGAAUGAGUUAAUUCUUUUUGGCUUUUUGAAAGUUUAAGUCAAGUAUAGUUAAUUUUAUUUACAAAUUUGAUUUAAGAAAAGAAGUUUGAAAAUGCAAUGGCAUAAGGCCAAAGUUUCUAUCUUUUUGUAAAGUGGUCAAAGUUUGGAACAAAAUAAGUUCAAUCAAAGAAGAUUUUGAAAAGGGAGGGAGAGAUUUUGAAAUUAAAGAAAUGGGGAGAAGAUGAAGAACUAAUCCUAUGCAUAAAAUUAAAAUUUAAGAGUUGAAAAAAUAUGACCAAAUGGGUAGCAAUCCAAUAGAAAAGAAUGUCAAUAGAAAACCCAGAAUUCCCUUGGACAUUUAGAAUCAAGCAACACACAAAUGCACAAUUAUAUUAUCUUGAAGAGCAAAGGCAUCAAAUAAAGAUAGCCACUUCCAAGCUUUAUCCAUUCCAUGAUCUUCUUCAAGAUUAGCCCAUGUAGCAGAUGGAUUCCACAAGUCACAACUUCAAAAUAACAACUUCACAAUGAUCAUGUUGCAGAUGAACUCAGAGGGAUCUUGAAUGAUGUAUCAGAUGAAGUUUCAAAUUUCAAGCACUUGGUUUCUCAAUAAGUUGGCAUUGGCCAAGUCCUUUAGCAUAGGAAUGUUGCCUAAGUUCUAAGUUCCAAGAUCAAGCCAACAGUCCACACAAAAGUUUUUUAGGGUUUUUUGUUGUUAUUAUGUACAUUAAUGGUCAAAGUCCACACAAACAAACAAAGUGUACACAAACAAGAUAUAUCACACAAUAUGGUCCAAAUGGACAAAGUGAAAAUUGCAUUAACAUAAACAAUUAGAAUGAUAUGAAUAAUGGCAAAUGAAUAAGGGCAAGAAUUAAAUGACAUUAAAAUAAAUGACUUGAAAUUAGAAGUUAGUAUGAGUUAUAAGUUAGUAUUGUUUUGCUUUUGCUUUUCAUUUUAAGACAUUCUUUGGAGAACACUCAACCCACUUAUCACAAGCAUGGAUUCUUGAGCCAAGACAUCUUCCAAAGGAAGGAAAAAAGGCCAAGUUUCCACACAAUACCAUGAAAGAGGGGANUUUCCAUUAAAGCUCCAUGUAGUCUGAGAGACUGCUAUCUUUGGCAGGCACCUGUCUGAAGCCCUCCUUAAGAGGCCACAUUCUUGAUUUGUUUAAUUUUUUGUGCUAAAGACUCAGUGAGGCAUGGUUACAUUGAAGACCUCCUAAGUGAAGAGGCAUUGGCCCAGAUAGAAGGGAUGGCAAUCCAUCCCCUGCUAUUCAGUUGAGUCUUUCAUAUUGCUCGCACUAUGUGCUGAUGAUUUGAAUAAACACCCAAGAUCAUUGUAGUAUAGAGUCAGUCAUUGUGGAGUAGAGUUCCUUAUUCUGGACUCCCACACCUUCUUUGAUUCAAGCUCACCCCGGCCAGGGUGAGAAGCUAUGAGGUCUAACCUCAUCUCCCAUUUUAUCUGCUCACGCCUACGGUCAAUGCAGUGGUUAAGAGCCCAAACACCCUUACAUAUCUGGCUUGUUUGUCGAGGUUGAUAUGACCCCUUAACUAAAGCCCAGCCUUGUAUGAGCCUCUUGGUUGUGUAUAGGCGUGUGAUAAUUGAUUGAUAUGUUUGCUGGUUGCUUGCUUGUGCAUCCUUCAUGUUGCUUUUGCAUAUUGUUUGCAUUUUGGCUCUUGCAUUUGUUAUUUUUUUUGUUUGAGGAGUCAGAUGUAAGACCAUGAUUGGCUAUCUGUUUCCUGUUCCUUUUGGGGAGCUGGAUAUAAGACAUUGAUGGCACUCCAUCUCCUAUAUUGUUUUGUUUUGAGGAGUCAGGUGUAAGACCAUUGAUUGACUAUUUGUUUCCUGUGUUUGUUUUGUUUUGAGGAGUCAGGUGUAAGACCAUUGAUUGGCUAUCUAUUUCCUACUUGUUUUCUUUUUGUGGAGUCAGACGUAAGACCAUUAAUUGGCUAUCUGUUUCCCCAUGUCGCUUUGUGGAGUUGGACAUAAGACGCAUUUAUUGGCACUCCGUUUCCCAUUUGUUUCCGGAGUUGGACGUAAGAAUUUAUUGGCAAUCCAUUUCAGUUUUGUUGCUCCUUUGAGCUUGCUUAUUUGCUUUUGCCUUGUGUGCCUAAUUCCAAAGGAACUUCCUUGAAUCAUUUCCUAUGAUUUUGAGAAAGCGAUUCCUAAUUUGUGGCUUUGUCCUUAACCCUUUUGUGCUUAACCUUGAACCUUGUUUUCUCUUUAACCCAAACCAGAAAAACUUUUGUGGCAAACAUUUUCAUCUGUUUUCAAACUAGAAACCUAGCCUUAAGCGUUGAUUUUCAAAUUCAUUUUCACAAUACUUCUUUUGAUUGAAUCUAAUGUCAACUUUGACAUUCUUUGUGAAUAUCUAUUUGGUUAAUUUCACUCACUCAAUUGCUUUUGUGGCCCUUGUCCACUCUCUUAAUCAAGUUUUCAUACAUUAGCCAUAUAUCUGAAUUAUUAUAGUGGUUGAUGUAAAUCUCAACCGGCAUCCUUAGUGAUUGAAUUGUAAGACUCCAUGCUUAUUAUAGGGUUAACCCUCACUAGCAUGUCGAAGCUUUUCUCACAUGGUGGAUUGUUGGUUCAGGUUGAGUUUUCUCCCGUUGAUAAUGAAGACCUUAAGGUUCUUGUUUAAAAUCAAUCCACUCACUUUUUGGAAAUUUUUUAGCCGAACUACGGCGUUUUUGAUCCUUAUCUUUCAUGAAAAGGUACGUAGGCAAUGAGUUUCAUCAUUAAACACAAAAAUAUAAAAAUUGUAUAUUCUUUUCUCAUCCUCUCAAUCAUGGUUUGCACAAAAAUAUUUCAUAAACAAAUAUAAUACAACAUUUGUGAAAAGAGGUUCCCUAGGAGUACCUAGGAUGCAUUGGGUGCCUAACACCUUCCUUGCAUAUACCCCGCCUUACCCAGAUCUUGGCCUUUUAUUAGUUUUCUCUGUGUAAAACUUAAUAGGCUUUUGUUCGCUUUCUAGCCAUUCCUUUGGAUAAAUAGAAGUACGGGGCGACUCUAUUUUGUAUGCUUUGCUUUUGAUUUAGUCAAUAAAUCAUAAGGUGACGAAUACACCGCUACAAGAGGCACAUUAGUGAAUUCACCACAAACUGUCAAUAAUGUCCACACUACUAAUGACAGAACAUACCAACAAUUCAUCAUUAGUGAGAGACAUAAGUCUUAAGACCACGUAGACAUUGCUUGUUCUCUAAAAAAGCAAACGUCUGAGGCAAGUGCAAAAUAAACCACUUGUACAGAGAGGAAUACAGCACACAAUAGUCCCACCACCUUUAGAAUUCUCAAAUGCAAAGAGACAUACAUGUCAUCCAACAGAGUAGAAUAGGAUUCCCAUCAAGAAAAUUCAAACGGCAUUACACAUCAACAACCGUCAAUGUUAGGGAACAAAGCUAACCACAUAGAUGAGGCAAUACAAUAUGGCUUCGAAAGCAUCCAUGUUACCCUGCUUGAGCAAAAAAAAAUAGCUUUACCAAUGAGGAACUCAGAAGUCAACCCAAAAAUACCUCUUUCUUCAACCAAAUGAGCAUCAAUCUUAUAUAUCUUCAGAUGAAGAGCUUCAGCUAUGAUAUGAGAUCUGGGAAUCUCCUUUAAUCCACUAUAAGGUAUCUUUGUCAGAUACGGUAUUCCCAAAGAGAUGGCAUAACUCCUCUAACGUAGGCACAAGCUGAUAAUCAGGAAAGUGAAGCACUGGUAAGAGGAGGAUCAUAAACUGACCAACACACUCAGAAGUCCUUCAACCAUAUCAGCCACAGAUAACACAGAUAAAUGUUCCCAUGACGUUGCUUAAAGUCCAAGGGAUCUAAUACAAGGAUGACAACUUCCUUAGCUCUUUCAAAUCAGGACAUCUUAAACAUGUCCUUCUUAAUGUUCCUUCGUCCAUAAUCCAUGGUCUGAAAACAUUUGCAAACAAGACCUUAGUUCCUUGAAAUUUAUUUUCUGUGAUGAAUGUCAUGAUGCGCAUGUAUACAUGAAUGUAACAAUCACACACAAGGGAUCAUAAACAGGCAAGCACAGUAAAGGUCAGGGACGGGAUCAAGUCAUCAUCAAGAUCAAUUAUCCAUUUGGUGGAUUAUGGUUUUCAACUUAUCACACACCAAGUUCCAUUGAUAUUGACAAGACUUGAUCGUAUCAACCAGAAUCAAAGGGUUUGUUAUGAGUCACGAGCAUGAGUCAGGUGUAAGACACCAAUUUUGACCCUAAGAUCCCUCAUGCAAUUUCAUCAUAAGCAUUAGCGUUGGGAUCAUACCUUGACAUCCUCCUUACCCCUCUUUCAUUGCGUUUGUCUUGGAGAGAUCACCAAGCACUAUGUGAUUGUAUCAUACUUGUAUAUUAUCAUUUUACUAAACCAAAAUACAAAAUAUGUCUUUGUUUGCCUAACUCUUUUGUAGGUAGGCAUGAUCACCAUGAUAUAUAAGUUCAUAUAUAGGGGUUUAUGACCCUCAUGACAAAGAGCACAACCAGUGAAUUGAUCCAAGAAUGGUAUGAAGCAUCAUAUAUUAUUCCAUUGAUUCCUACAUGUUAAAUUGAUCAAUCAUUCUUGAAGAGUUUGAGGGUGAUUUGUCCUGGAACCCUAGUUUGACUGGGUAUCUUGAGUAACUCUCCAACAAGCUAUCUUGCCAUUUGAUAAAAUUUCUCAAGGGACACUUCAAAAUUCAUCAUCUUAUGCAUAUAUGAUCUACCAUGAGCCAAGAAAGUCAAAGAAUUGAAGGUUAGCAAGUUGGUUGAUGGUGGUUGGCCAGAUGAAUUAUCUGAUCAAACUGGGUCUCCCUAGACCCUAUCUCCUACAAUUUUCACCCAUAUGAAAUUAUUCCAAUAGCAACGUUACUCUCAAUGGCAUCCAAACAACUUUCAUGUUGAUACCUAGAGCUAGUUUUCUUGGAAAAUCAUUUUCUAUGUUGAAACAUUAUAGGUCAUUUGUCUAACACCUAAUUGAAAGUCAACUUCCAAUCCCAUAACUUGCUCAAUUUUUAUGAGAUGAAAGAUUUCCAAGUUGAACAUCAAUUCAGGAUGUCUAAUUCAACUUUUAUGUUUGGAGUGAGAGCUAAUUUCAAUUUUAUGAGCAUGUGAUAUGAAGCUACAUUAUAGGUCACUUUUGACCUAUACCAUUGAACAAGUGAUUUUUUCCAAACUUCAAAAAUGCAUACUCUAUCAUUUCAAAUCCAAAUGACAUGAAAUCGGUGACCAUUUCAAGGUCUUUGAAAGAGCUAAAAGUUUAUGAAUACACUUUUCUCAUUUUAAGCUCACAUAAAAAGUUAAGUAAGGUGGAAUCUUGAGUAUAUAGGCUUGACACUUAGAAAAAAAUUGAUAUGUUAAAAUUUCCAAACUUCCACUCAAAAUUCAUCAUGAUACAAGCUUCAAAUGGAAAAGUGUUGAACAUGAAAGUUAUUCCUCUUGAUUUACCUUUCCAAAAGUCCAAAUUCAUCCAUUUUGGACAAGGGUUGAUGGGUUGCGCAUGGCUUGAACAUUGCAUCAUCAAUUUGCAAGAAUUAGACUUCAAGUUCCAUGUACAAUUGCCAGCACGUCCAAUUUGAUUUCAGACUUGUUCAUACUCAAUUAUGGAUCAAAUGUAAUGAUCUCAUGAACAUGUACAUGCCCAUGCGCACAUGCAUCACUCAUUUCCGAUUUGGAAAACUCAUUUGGAAGGUGCAAAUAUCACUAUAGAUCAGAUAAUAAGGAUAUAGACUCAGAAUUAGGGACCCCGCUUCGCGCCAGCUUUGAUCCCAACACCAAACCUUCCAUUUGAGAGGAUAAUCCUAAGAUUUCCUUUGGAAAUUGAGUUGGAAUCUCACUGUUUUGAGAUUCAAAACUCCAGGGAUCCAAGACUUUUGUGCAUUCUAUUACUUCUGUAAGGCAUACUGACAAGAUCAAGCAGAGCCAAAGCAAGUACAAUUGAAUCCAGACCUGCAUUGAAGGUAUUUUCCAAAAAAUUUCAUCUCUUCGAUUCUCUCUCAAUUCCACUCAAUUCCUAGAUCUUUGGUUUUGAAGUCCUACCAAUGUAGCAGAAGAUUAGUUGUGCUUAGAGGUCAAAUCGAAGCACUCAGUUGACACACCUCAAAAUUCAACUCCUCAUAUCUUUCUAUAUAUGUGGAGUUAAGUUAAAAUUGAGGUCAGAUUCGUGCUCUACGUCAUUUUUCUUUCAGAUCAUUUCCUCCUUUUUCAUUUUCUUGAUGGUGAUGAGUGAACCAGUCGGCCAGGGUCACCGGAGAAGAUGACCGGCCUUUGACGCCAGCGAUGCGCUGGAAGUUUUCAGAGCAUUGAUUUGGUUCAAAUUGUUUAAUCUCACGCGUUGGUGUCCGGAUUACCAUUCAUCUGCGCAUUGACUUAAGUCCACGGUGGAAAGCGCGUUGAGGACCACUUGAUCUGCCACCUCAUUCAAUUAGUAGGGAGAUCAAGUGGUCCACGUUUUUUUUGUUAUUUCUGAUUUUCUUUUAUUCCUUUUAUUUUCAUUAAUUCAUAUUAAUUUAAUAUUGAUCCAAAAAUAUGAGAUUUCACAAGAAAAUUUCAAAAUAAUUUUCCUCUUUCAAUAUUCUGAAUUAAAAUUAUUUUUGGAUAUUAUUAAUAUUUUUCAUGAUUAAUUGAUUUUGAAUUUGUUUUUAAUUGUUUAAAAAUACUUUUAAGUCUUAAAAAUUCUGAAGUUUUUUCUCCAAGGUCAUUGGACCUUGUUUGACCUAUGAUAAAUCUCAUGGCCAUUUCUUUGUGUUUUGAUGAGGUUUUAGGAAUUUGACAAACCAUAUUUAAUUUAAAUGCCUUAUUUUAAUAUUUUUAAUUUGAAUAAAUGCCAAAUAAUUUUGUUGACGCAAUUGUGAUGACUUGUUUGAGUUUGACUCUUGUUGUGGGCCUUGGUCAAGUUGAUUUGCCUUGUCAAGUUAAUAUCAUUGAUUAGGGGGAUUGAUGGAAUGUACAUUCCAUCUCCCAAAAUGAAUGGAUGAGAUUAAUUUGGUAAAAGUCCCCUUUGAUCAAUUUGAGUUUUGAUCCAUUCCCUCCCCUCUUCAUCUCAUUCCCCUUCUUUAUGCAUUCAUUUUGAUUUGGCUAUGAUAUCUCAAAGUCCUAAGCUAGUUGAUUGAAAAAUUAACAUGAGUAUGGAUGAGAUUAGGCCCCCUUUUGCAUACUUUUUUGUGUGUUGGUAUGUUUCAUGAGCAUAGUCCAUUCUACUAUGUCUCUAACAUGCAUUAACACCAAAAUCUAUUGCCCGACCUCAAUAGUUGUGCUUCUAACUAGUCCAAUUACGAUUGCUUAACAUAGCGCUAAAAUUUGUGACACAAAAGACAUAACAUUCUAGUUAGUGAGAUGUAGUCUCCCCUCUUUCAUGGGUAUUGUUGGAAUGUUAUGUCUUUUGUGUCACAAAUUUAGCGCUAUGUUAAGCAAUCGUAAUUGGACUUAUGUAGAAGUCACAACUAUUUGAGGUCGGGCAAUAGAAUUUUGGUGUUAAUGCAUGUUAGAGACAUAGUAGAAUGGACUAUGCUCAUGAAACAUACCACACACAAAAAGAGUAUGCAAAAGGGGUGGCCUAAUCUCAUCCAUACUCAUGUUAAUUUUUCAAUCAACUAGCUUUAGGACUUUGAGAUAUCAUAGGCCAAAUCAAAUGAAUGCAUAAAGAAGGGGAAUGAGAUGAAGAGGGAGGGGAAUGGAUCAAAACUCAAAUUGAUCAAAGGAGGACUUUUACCAAAUUAAUCUCAUCCAUUCAUUUUGGGAGAUGGAAUGUACAUUCCAUCAAUCCCCCUAAAUCCAAUGAUAUUAACUUGACAAAGUCAAAUCAACCUUGACCAAGGCCCAACAACAAGAGUCAAACUCAAACAAGUCAUCACAAUUGGUCAACAAAAUUAUUUGGCAUUUAUUCAAAUUAAAAAUAUUAAAAUAAGGCAUUUAAAUUAAAUAUGGUUUGUCAAAUUCCUAAAACCUCAUCAAAACACAAAGAAAUGGCCAUGAGAUUUAUCAUAGGUCAAACAAGGUCCAAUGACCUUGGAGAAAAACUUUCAGAAUUUUUAAAGACUUAAAAGUAUUUUAAACAAUUAAAAACAAAUUCAAAAUCAAUUAAUCAUGAAAAAUAUUAAUAAUGAUCCAAAAAUAAUUUAAUUCAGAAUAUUGAAAGAGGAAAAUUAUUUGAAAUUUUCUUGUGAACUCUCAUAUUUUUUGGAUCAAUAUUAAAAUUAAUAUGAAUUAAUGAAAAUAAAAGGAAUAAAAGAAAAUCAGAAAAUAACAAAAAAACGUGGACCACUUGACUCCCUACAUGAAUGAGAGAUGGCAGAUCAAGUGGUCCUCACGCGCUUUCCACCGUGGACUUAAGUCAAUGCGCCAGAUUGAAUGGUAAUCCGGAACACCAACGCCGUGAGAUUAAAACAAUUGAACCAAAUCAAUGCUCUGAAAACUUCCAGCGCAUCGCUGGCGUCAAAGGCCGGUCAUCUUCUCCGUGACCCUGGCCGACUGGUUCACUCAUCACCAUCAAGAAAAUGAAAAAGGAGGAAAUGAUCUAUGAAAGAAAAAUGACGUAGAGCACGAAUCUGACCUCAAUUUUAACUUAACUCCACAUAUAUAGAAAGAUAUGAGGAGUUGAAUUUUGAGGUGUGUCAACUGAGUUGCUUCGAUUUGACCUCUAAGCAACUCAAUCUUCUUGCCUACAUUGGUAGGACUUCAGACAACCAAAGAUCUAAGAGAAUUGAGUGGAAUUGAGAGAGAAUCGAAGAGAUGAAAUUUUUUGGAAAAUACCUUCAAUGCAGGUCUGGAUUCAAUUGUACUUGCUUUGGCUCGUGCUUGAUCUUGCUCAGUAUGCUUACAGAAGUAGAUUAGAAUGCACAAAAGGUCUUGGAUCCCUGGAGUUUUGAAUCUCAAAACAGUGAGAUUCCAACUCAAUUUCCAAAGGAAAUUCUUAGGAUUAUCCUCUCAAAUGGAAGGGUUUGGUGUUUGGGAUCAAAGCUGGCGCGAAGGGGUCCCUAAUUCUGAGCAUUUGGAGCUCUAUUUAUAUCUGAAUCAUGUGAUAUUUGCACCUUCCAAAUGAGUUUCCAAAAUCGGAAAUGAGUGAUGCAUGUGCGCAUGGGCAUGUACAUGUUCAUGAGAUCAUUACAUUUGAUCCAUAAUUGAGUAUGAACAAGUCUGAAAUCAAAUUGGAGUGCUAGGCAAUUGUACAUGGAAGCUUGAAGUCUAAUUCUUGCCAAAUGAUGAUGCAAUGUUCAAGCCAUGCGCAACCCAUUCAACCCUUGUCCAAAAUGGAUGAAUUUGGACUUUUUGGAAAGGUUAAAUCAAGAGGAAUAACUUUCAUGUUCAACACUUUUCCAUUUGAAGCUUGUAUCAUGAUGAAUUUUGAGGUGGAAGUUUGGAAAUUUUAACAUAUCAAUUUUUUUCUAAGUGUCAAGCCAUAUAUCUCAAGAUUCCACCUUACUUAACUUUUUAUGUGAGCUUAAAAUGAGAAAAGUGUAUUCAUAAAACUUUUAGCUCUUUCAAAGACCUUGAAAAUGGUCACCGAUUUCAUGUCAUUUGGAUUUGAAAUGAUAGAGUUAUGCAUUUUUGAAGUUUGGAAAAAUCACUUGUUCAAUGGUAUAGGUCAAAAGUGACCUAUAAUGUAGCUUCAUAUCACAUGCUCAUAAAAAUUGAAUUAGCUCUCACUCCAAACAUAAAAGUUGAAUUAGACAUCCUGAAUUUGAUUGUUCAACUUGGAAAUCUUUCAUCUCAUAAAAAUUGAGCAAGUUAUGGGAUUGGGAAGUUGACUUUCAAAUUAGGGUUUAGACAAAAUGACCUAUAAUGUUUCAACAUAGAAAAUGAUUUUCCAAGAAAAACUAGCUCUAGGUAUCAACAUGAAAGUUGUUUGGAAUGCCAUUGAGAGUAACGUUGCUAUUGGAAUAAUUUUCAUAUGGUGAAAAUUGUAGGAGAUAGGGUCUAGGGAGACCCAGUUUUGAUCAGAUGAAUUCAUCUGGCCAACCACCAUCAACCAACUUGCUAACCUUCAAUUCUUUGGACUUUCUUGGAAAUUCAUCUGGCCAACCACCAUCAACCAACUUGCUAACCUUCAAUUCUUUGGACUUUCUUGGCUCAUGGUAGAUCAUAUAUGCAUAAGAUGAUGAAUUUUGAAGUGUCCCUUGAGAAAUUUUAUCAAAUGGCAAGAUAGCUUGUUGGAGAAGUUACUCAAGAUACCCAGUCAAACUAGGGUUUCCAGGACAAAUCACCCUCAAACUCUUCAAGAAUGAUUGAUCAAUAUAACAUGUAGGAAUCAAUGGAAAUAAUAUAUGAUGCUCAUACCAUUCUUGGAUCAAUUCAUGGUUGUGCUCUUUGUCAUGAGGGUCAUAAACCCUAUAUAUGAACUUGAUAUAUCAAUGGUGAUCAUGCCCUACCUACAAAAGAGUUAGGCAAACACAAAGACAUAUUUUUGUAUUUUGGUUAGUAAAAUGAUAAUAUACAAGUAUGAUACAAUCACAUAGUGCUUGGUGAUCUCUCCCAAGACAAACGCAAUGAAAGAGGGGUAAGGAGGAUGUCAAGGUAUGAUCCCAACGCUAAUGCUUAUGAUGAAAUUGCAUGAGGGAUCUUAGGGUCAAAAUUGGUGUCUUACACCUGACUCCAUGCUCGUGACUCAUAACAAACCCUUUGAUUCUUGGUUGAUACGAUCAAGUCUUGUCAAUAUCAAUGGAACUUGGGUGUUGAUAAGGUGAAAACCAUAAUCCACCAAAAUGGAUAAUUGAUCUUGAUGAUGACUUGAUCCGUCCCUUGACCUUUACUUGUGCUUGCCUUGUUUAUGAUCCCUUGUGUGUGAUUGUUACAUUCAUGUAUACAUGCGCAUCAUGACAUUCAUCACAGAAAAUAAAUUUCAAGGAACUAAGGUCUUGUUUGCAAAUGUUUUCAGACCAUGGAUUAUGGACGAAGGAACAUUAAGAAGUACAGUUUAAGAUGUCCUGAUUUGAAAGAGCUAAGGAAGUUGUCAUCCUUUGUAUUAGAUCCCUUGGACUUUAAGCAACGUCAUGGGAACCAUUUAUCUGUGUUAUCUGCUGAUAUGGUUGAAGGACUUCUGAGUGUGUUGGUUCAGUUUUAUGAUCCUCUCUACCAGUGCUUCACUUUUCCUGAUUAUCAGCUUGUGCCUACGUUAGAGGAGUAUGCCCAUCUCUUGGGAAUACCCGUAUCUGACAAAGUACCUUAUAGUGGAUUAAAGGAGAUUCCCAGAUCUCAUAUCAUAGCUGAAGCUCUUCAUCUGAAGAUAUAUAAGAUUGAUGCUCAUUUGGUGAAGAAAGGAGGUAUUUUUGGGUUGACUUCUGAGUUCCUCAUUGGUAAAGCUAUUUUUUUUGCUCAAGCAGGUAACAUGGAUGCUUUCGAAGCCAUAUUUGUAUUGCUCAUCUAUGGUUUAGCUUUGUUCCCUAACAUUGACGGUUUUGUUGAUGUUAAUGCCGUUUGAAUUUUCUUGAUUGGGAAUCCUAUUCCUACUCUGUUGGAUGACAUGUAUGUCUCUUUGCAUUUGAGGAAUUCUAAAGGUGGUGGGACUAUUGUGUGCUGUAUUCCUCUUCUGUACAAGUGGUUUAUUUUGCACUUGCCUCAGACGUUUGCUUUUUUAGAGAACAAGCAAUGUCUACGGUGGUCUUAGAGACUUAUGUCUCUCACUAAUGAUGAUAUUGUUUGGUAUGAUUCUGCAUUGAGUAGUGUGGACAUUAUUGACAGUUGUGGUGAAUUCACUAAUGUGCCUCUUGUAGCGGUGUAUUCGUCACCUUAUGAUUUAUUGACUAAAUCAAAAGCAAAGCAUACAAAAAUAGAGUCGCCACCGUACUUCUAUUUAUCCAAAGGAAUGGCUAGAAAGCGAACAAAAGCCUAUGAAGUUUUACACAGAGAAAACUAAUAAAAGGCCAGAGAUCUGGGUAAGGGGGUAAUUAUGCAAAGGGAAGGUGUUAGGCACCCAAUGCAUCCUAGGUACUCCUAGGGAACCUCUUUUCACAAAUGUUGUAUUAUUAUUUGUUUAUGAAAUAUUUUUGUGCAAACCAUGAUUGAAGGGAUGAGAAAAGAAUAUACAAUUUUUAUUAUUUUUGUGUUUGAAUGGAUGAACUCAUUGCCUACGUACCUUUUCAUGAAAGAUAAGGAUCAAAACGCCGUAGUUCGGCUAAAAGAUUUCCAAAAAGUGAGUGGAUUGAUUUUAAACAAGAACCUUAAGGUCUUUCAUUAUCAACGGGAGAAAACUCAACCUGAACCAACAAUCCACCAUGUGAGAAAAGCUUCGACAUGCUAGUGAGGGGUUAACCCUAUAAUAAGCAUGGAAGUCUUACAAUUCAAUCACUAAGGAUGCGGUGAGAUUUACAUCAACCACUAUAAUAAUUCAGAUAUAUGGCUAAUGUAUGAAAACUUGAUUAAGAGAGUGGACAAGGGCCACAAAAGCAAUUGAGUGAGUGAAAUUAACCAAUUAGAAUUAUUCACAAAGAAUGGUCAAAGUUGACAUUAGAUUCAAUUCAAAAGAAGUAUUGUGAAAAUGAAGUUUGAAAAUCAGAGGCUUAAGGCCUAGGUUUCUAGUUUUGAAAACAGAUGAAAAUGUUUGCACAAAGUUUUCUGGUUUGGGUUAAAGAUGAAAACAAGGUUCAAGGUUAAGCACAAAAGGGUUAAGGGACAAAAAACAGAUGAAAAUGUUUGCACAAAGUUUUCUGGUUUGGGUUAAAGAUGAAAACAAGGUUCAAGGUUAAGCACAAAAGGGUUAAGGGACAAAGCCACAAAUAGGAAUCGCUUUCUCAAAAUCAUAGGAAUGAUUCAAGGAAGUUCCUUUGGAAUUAGGCAACACAAGGCAAAAGCAAAUAAGCAAGCUCAAAGGAGCAACAAAACUGGAAAUGGAUUGCCAAUAAAUGGUCUUACGUCCAACUCCGGAAACAAAUGGGAAACGGAGUGCCAAUAAAUGGUCUUAUGUCCAACUCCACAAAGCGACAUGGGAAACAGAUAGCCAAUUAAUGGUCUUACGUCUGACUCCACAAAAAGAAAACAAGUAGGAAAUAGAUAGCCAAUCAAUGGUCUUACACCUGACUCCUCAAAACAAAACAAACACAGGAAACAAAUAGUCAAUCAAUGGUCUUACACCUGACUCCUCAAAACAAAACAAUAUAGGAGAUGGAGUGCCAAUCAAUGGUCUUAUAUCCAGCUCCCCAAAAGGAACAGGAAACAGAUAGCCAAUCAAUGGUCUUACAUCUGACUCCUCAAACAAAAAAAAUAACAAAUGCAAGAGCAAAAUGCAAACAAUAUGCAAAAGCAACAUGAAGGAUGCACAAGUAAGCAACCAAGCAAACAUAUCAAUCAAUUAUCACACGCUAUACACAACCAAGAGGCUCAUACAAGGCUGGGCUUUAGUUAAGGGGUCAUAUCAACCUCGACAAACAAGCCAGAUAUGUAAGGGUGUUUGGGCUCUUAACCACUGACAUUGACCGUCAGGGUGAGCAGAUGAAAUGGGAGAUGAGGGUUAGACCUCAUAGCUCUCAACCCUGGCCGGGGUGAGCUUGAAUCAAAGAAGGUGUGGGAGUCCAGAAUAAGGAACUCUACUCCACAAUGACUGACUCUAUAUACAAUGAUCUUGGGUGUUUAUUCAAAUGCAUCAGCACAUAGUGCGAGCAAUAUGAAAGACUCAACUGAAUAGCAGGGGAUGGAUUGCACAUCCCUCCUAUCUGCCAAUGCCUUCACUUAGGAGGUCUUACAAUGUAACCAUGCCUCACUGAGGUCUUUAGCACAAAAUUAAACAAUCAAGAAUGUGGCCUCUUAAGGAGGGCUUCAGACAGGUGCCUGCCAAAGAUAGCAGGUCUCCAGACUACAUGGAGUUAAGGAAAUACCAAGUGUUGCAACACCAAGCACAGCAAGCAACUCAAGUAAUGAGUUAAAGCUACUAAAGUACCUGUAAGAAAAUCAAACAAGUCAAUAUUCACAUUCAGACAAACUAAACAAACAGUCAACAGUCAGACAACCAAUAUACACAAUGUAAGUCAACAACUCAAGUGAAUUAGCCAUCCAAGGACCUACAACACAAUCAACAUUAGUUAAACAAAGCAAAUUGUAUCUCAAGCAAGGAGAUUACAUCAUCCAUUAGGAAUUAUUGCUUGAACCUGAAAUGCAAAGCUCAAAUUGUGAGUACAAACCCCUAAGGCAAAGCCUAGGGUCAAAGGUGAAGUAAAAAGUCAAAACAGCAACCAACAUUCAACAUGAAUCACAUUUAAUCAAGUAAGAACAUGUCCUAAAAAGGACCAAGCCAAAAGCAUUAAGCAAAGUCAUGUAGUGAGCAAGAGAAGACAAAGGCAAUUUCAAAGCACACAAUUGAACAUUAAGAAUCAAAAUUCCAUAUUAAAACAGAAAUGAAUCAAACAAUCCUGGAAAUUUUUAUGUGCACAUAAUAUGUCAAACAUAAUCACCAUGCCAAAAAUUAGAAUCAACAGAGUUCAAUUGACCUAGAAAUGAAAAUGCACAAGUAUGACAUCAAAUUGUGUGACACACAUUGUCACACCAAAAGUUUAUGUGUCUAAAACAGAAAUCAAAAAUGAUAAAAAUGCACCAUCAAGCCUCAAAGGUCAAGCAACAUGUUGGGAAUCAUCAUACAAAAUUUCAUGGCAAUUGGAUCAUUUUUGAGCAUUUCACACUAGAAAGAAUGAAGCAAUGUCACAAAUGCAUAUAUGAUCAAUCAACCAAUCACAAUUCAAAUUCCAGAGAUGAUAAAAUCAUGAAACCAUCACCAAAAGAUAAUAGACAAACACAUGAACAUUUUGCAAAAAAUUGGGAAUUAAUUGGAUAUGUUUUCAAUUUUAUAUGAUUUUUCAAAGUUGGAUAAAAUGUUUGAAAUAAAUGAGCAAACACAUGUUGAAAAUGGAGGGAAAGAUUAAAUGAUGAAUUAAUUUGAAAACAUGUCUCAGGCUGGAAUCGAACUCGGUGGCAAUUAAAUGAAGCGCUGAAACACAAAUAAUCCAGAAAUGUUCACGUUGGGAAUCGAAUGGGGGAAGGAUGAAACGCAGAGUUUCAUUAAUGCGUUGGCGUCCACGUCACUGAGUCAAAGGCCAUGUGGCUUGGUCAAAAGAACGCUGGCCAACGGAUACGCCAACGAUGUGCUUGCAUGGACAUGACCAUGCAAAGCCCUAGCGCUAAAACCAGAAGGCAGCGCUACAGUACCAGGGCGGCGCGCACGGUGGAAGCCACCGUCUUCUUCAUGAAGACGGUGGAGAAACAGUAACUUCAUGCAAGAAAUUUUCCAGAAUCAUGCAAUAUCUAUACCAAAUGAAAGCUCUUGCUACGUACAUUACAGAUCAAGCAAUAUCUAAGGCUAAUUCAUCAUGAAUCUUGAGAAUCGAUCAAAACAUUAUUGGAUACAAAACUUUAAAUCCACAUAACUCGGUCAAUAUUCAUCCAAAUCACAUGAAAUUUUCAUCAGCAUGCUCAGCAAGAGAAGGUCUACACUAUCAUGGCAAAAGAUUGGAGAAUUAAGAGCUUCGAAAAACCUACCUCUUGAAGAACAGUUUCUGGAAUCAACAGUUUCAAGGCCUGACACGAUUCAAAUCCACUCCUCUAUCACUGUUAUGAAGCUUUAUGAAGAAAUUGAGGCUUGGAGAGGCUUAGAUCUAGCUCAAAUAACAGUUUCCAUCUUCACCUUCAUGAGCUUGAUAUGCUUGAUUUCCACUCAAAUCCUUCAAAACAAAGUUUGAUCUGCACUAAAGGAGGGUCAGAGAACAAGAAUAUACAAGAAAAUCACUAGCUUAUGUGAAGAAAAUUUGAAUUUGGAUUGAGAGAAAAUUUUGGAGGGAAGAAGAAUUUAGAUCUAGAAAUGGUGAAGAUCCAGAAAUUCUGUUAAAAUUCUGUUAGGAUUUGGUAUAUAUACUCAGUCUUAAUCACAUCCUAAUUAAAAUUAAGCAUGGUUUAAUUGAGAUUAGUGAAAAUGGGGUGUGUGACCAAAAAUGACAAUUUGUGUGGUGCAUGGGAAAUGCAUACGUGAACAGUACCAAAUGGGAGCUCAAAUUCACUUAAAAUCUUCCAAUGAACACAAUGGCAAUGGUAUUUUGUCCAUACAAUGCACCAAUUUUAAAUUUAUCAUUUUCCCUCUAAAAUAGUCAUGAAAGAACAAAUGAUCAUGUGAUGAAAUUUCAUGCAAUGUGAUGAAUGAUUUGGAAAUUAGAGGUCAUGACAAGCAAAAUGCAAAAAGAGGCACUCAUUUUGGAGUUAUGAGUCAAAAGUUAUGGCCUUUUGAAGUUCCAUGCACACUUGGCAAUGAUUGGACCAUAUCUCCUCAACCAUUCAUCUGAUGCUCAUGAUCUUGGGCUUUUUGGAAAUGGGAGAGAGAGAUCUUAAACUUUCAUGUUGGACAAAAGUUCAUUUGAAGCUUCUUUGAUGUUGGAAAGUUGAGUUGAAGUUGGUCCAAAAACAUUCCAUUUUUGGAAACUUGAAAUUAUAGGUCACUUUCCAUUUUGGGAAACUUUUGUACUGGCUUCAAAUUCUUCAAUGUAGAUGUUUGACAUGAUGAAUAAGCAUUGUUGGCACAUGAAUGGGAUGAAGAAACUCAAUUUCCCAAUUCAAAAACCACAGUUGACUUUCAGUUGACUGGCAUAGGCCUUUAGAUGACCUGAAAAUGUUUUGAUGAACUUGGGCCUUUGCCACUUGGGGAAUUUGCUUCACAAUGGACCUCUAGCUCACAUAAGCUCAAAAUAAUGAUCACAUGAUCCAUAUCUCAAGGAAAACCUCAUCUCUUGCACAAAGGAUUCACUUGAUUGCCUUGACUUGUUGAUUGUUUAAGCUGCAAGACAAAGGUUAAUGACAUAUUUUUGUACAUUUUUGGUUAGUGAUUAAUAGAAAAGCAAUGAUACACAAAUGCAAGGAAUGCUUGGUGAUCAAGAAUUACUCUCAAGAAAGAUCCCACCCACAGGGAAGGAAGCAAGGUGUCCAAUGAUCCUUGAGGCAAUGCAAUGUUAUGAUAUGAUGCCAUGAGGGAUCUUAGGGAUAAAAUUGGGGUCUUACACCUCUCAUUGGUACACAAGGAGGAAUCAACUAUAACCCUGCUUUGAAUCGUCGUCAACUUGGGUUCUCCUUGAGAGAUAAACCUAAUAACACUCAGUUAGAAGGUCUAUUUUAUAAAGAGGGUAAUGAUCCUCAACAUUUGAAGCAAAAGAUGAUACAUGUGUGGCAUAAUAUGCAUAGGAAAGGAAGAUCUGAGCUUAGUCAGCGCAAAUGUGUAGCUCUGGGAGCUUACACUAUUUGGGUGAAGAAGAGAGCUUUGGAGCUGAAGAUGCCAUACGCUUGUGAAAGAACUAUAUCUAUGGUUAUGGCUGAGCCAUCAACUCUCCCUAACCAAGAUAUAGAGGAGUUGGAAGACGCACUCACCAAGAUGAAGCAAGAGAGAGAUAUGUGGGAAGAGCGGUUCCAUACUUUGAGCUGAAAGCAUGAGGAGUUGUAGCUUGAGUCAAAAGACAAGGAUGCACUUAUUGAGAUUCUUGAAGACCGAGCAGUGAAAAGACAGAGAGAUCCAGAUGGUCUACCUUCCUCUAUUAUGCCUCAGCCUUCCAGUGCUUGGAAGAAGAUUAUUGAUCAGCUAGUUCUUGAGAAGGCUCAGAUGAAGAUAUCCUUUGAGUUUGAGAUUCUACACAUCCGAAGGAAGUAUUCACAAUAGCCAGAUCAUCUGACGCAGUUGCUAAGGGAUCCUUAGGAUGAUAGUUUCCUUUUCUCUUGUAUUUGUACUUUGGUUUCUGAAAUUGUACUUAGUGUAAUCCUUCCAAAUUUUAUGAAUAAAAAUAGAUUUUAUGGUCAAUCAAAUUAUUGUUAUUUGAAUAUAAAUUUGCAAAUAGGACUUCAUAUGUUCCUUGAAAUUAAAAAACAUUGCAUUUCAUACAUCAUUUGCACAACACGUUUUCUUCCGCCAGAUGUCUUAUCAGUUCUCCUUCUAUGCAUCAGCCAAGCUGACUCACCGUUACAAUACUCGCGCUAAUCAACCAAGGAUCAUGGAGCAUCUAGAGCAAGAGAGCAGAGAGCUAAAGGACGAGAUCACCAGAUUAACGACUAUGAUGGAAUCUGUCAUUGCUGCAUAUAAUCAAUCUUCACCAUCUUCUGCAACUCCUCCCUAGAUGACUUUUAUUUCUGAGGUUGCUACCUUAACUGUUCCUGUUGCUGCUGCCAUUCAAUCCAUGCCCUCUAUGCCUGCUGGGUUUCCUUGGGGAAUUCCAUCAAAUUUUAUGCCAGAAGGGUAUGCGCCCACCUUUGUUUCUCUGUCGGCAUCUAGCCCGGUCAUGUCAGUGCCUCCCCCGGUUGUUCACACUCUUCCUCGUGUUAAGGAUACUAUCUACCUUUCUGACCCGUCUGAGGGCCCAGAUGUAUAUGAGAAGAUGGAUGAGAUGAAAGAUCAAUUCCUCUAGCUACGUAAAGAGUUGAAUACCUUGAGAGGAAAAUACUUGUUUGGGAAGAGUUCUGUUGAACUUUGCUUGGUCCCCAAUGUUAAGAUCUCGGUGAAAUUCAAGGUCCCAGACUUUGAAAAGUACGAAGGGAAUACUUGCCCACUAAGCCAUCUUGUGAUGUACGUCAGAAAAAUGUCUACUCAUACUGAUAAUGAUCAGUUGUUGAUUCACUAUUUCCAAGACUGUUUAACUAGAGUUGCUUUAAGGUGGUAUAUGGGUUUGGAUAGUGCAAAAAUUCUUACUUUCAACGACUUAGGCGAGGCCUUUGUCAAGCAGUAUAAGUACAACGUGGAUAUGGUGCCUGAUGGAGACCAGAUGAGGUCUAUGUCUCAGAAAGAUAAAGAGACAUUCAAACAAUAUGCCAGAGAUGGAGAGAGCUUGGUGCCCAGACAAGUCCACCUCUUGAAGAGAAAGAGAUGCGAAGAUGUUCUUGAAGAUGUUGAGUUUGUUUUAUUAUGAAUGUAUGAUUGCGGGUGCCCCCAACAAUUUUACCGAAAUGGUAAACAUGGGGAUGAGGCUAGAAGAAGGAGUCCGUGAAGGACAUAUGUCUAAAGAAGAAGCAUCAUCCAACAAGAAAUAUGGUUGGAGUUUCUCCAAGAGGAAGAAAGGAGAAACUAAUUCAGUGUCAGUAGGGAGGCAGAGGAGGCCUCAUGUCAGAAAGAGUUCUCAACCCUGUCAACAUCAGUAUCAAGUUUCCUCAGUAAUUCCGUUUUUUUCCAUCAAUUUCAACAAUCAAUCAGUUCCAAUUCAACAACAACAACAUCAACAACAACUGCAACAAUGAACCAACUACAACAACAAUAAUCAUCAAUAAAACUUUGAGAGGAAGAAGGUCUCCUUUGACCCUAUUCCUAUGAAUUAUGCAAAAUUGUAUCCAUCAUUGGUUCUCAAGAACCUCAUUCAACCAAGAAAUCCUUCGCCGAUUCCUGAGCCAUUACCAUGGUGGUUCAAACCCGACCUUCAUUAUGCUUUUCACUAGGGAGCCCAUGACCAUGACAUAUAAAACUGCUAUCCAUUGAAAUAUGAAGUCCAAAAGCUUAUAAAUAGUGGUAUGGUGUCCUUUGAGGAUAAAUCACUGAAUGUAAAAGCCAAUCCGUUGUCUGCUCAUGGUAACGCUUCUGUCAACAUGGUGGACGGCUGUCCAGGGAAUUUUAGAGUUUUUGAUGUACGACGUAUCCGAAGAUCUCUGGUGGAGAUGCAUAAGACAUUGUGUUUGAUCAGUGAUUGUGAACAUGACCAUGAUGGUUGUGUCAUCUGUAGUGUGAACCCCCGUGGGUGUAUGGUCGUCAAGAGAGAUAUCCAGACGUUGAUGGAUGAGAAUGUAAUCUAGAUUAAAUAGUCAAGGGAUAUAGAUGAUGUGAAUGUUAUUGUACCGGUGUUCAAGACCCAUGAGCGGGUAGUUAUCGAGUUCGAUAGUAGCAACAACAAUAAUGUUAACAGAUCGGUAUCGUCGUUGGUUAUACGGUUAGUGGGCCCUGUCCCGUAUGCAUCCGAUAAAGCUGUGCCAUAUCAAUAUAACGCCAUUAUGAUUGAAGAUGGUCAAGAGGUUCCUCUACCAGUCGCCGACUCAGUGGUGAAUAAUGCAGAUAUUACGAAGGUGACUCGUAGCGGUUGUGUGUCCAGUCCCGUGUUUCCAAAGAUAGUAGAAGAUGUUGCAGCAAGUAAGAAAGCAGAGAUUCCUAUAGUGAAUCCAGUUAGUACUCCAAUGUGUCAAUCUGGUGAAUCCAUCAAAUUGAAGACUAACAAUGAUGAUGAGGUGCUAAAGUUGAUCAAAAGAAGUGAAUUCAAUAUUGUGGAGCAGCUACUCCAGACGCCGUAAAAAAUCUCCAUACUGUCACUGCUAAUGAAUUCUGAAGCACAUAGGGAAGCGUUGCAAAAAGUUCUAGAGCAGGAUUAUGUUGAGCACGAUGUGACCGUGGAUCAGUUUGACCAUAUAGUUGCCAACAUUACUUCUUGUAAUAAUCUGAGUUUUGUGAUGAAGAUCUUCCCGGGGAAGACAUGAAUCACAAUUUGGCACUCCAUAUUUCGAUGAAUUGAAAAGAGGAUGCUCUGUCCAAUGUGCUGGUUGAUACAAAGUCAUCUUUGAACGUGCUCCUGAAAUCAACUCUGUAAAGACUCUCUUAUCAAGGCACCCUAAUGAGGUACAACAACGUGAUUGUCAAAGUGUUCGACGGUUCUCGUAAAACUGUCAUUGGUGAAGUGGACCUUCCAGUGAAGAUAGGUCCGAGUGAUUUCCAUAUUACUUUCCAGGUAAUGGAUAUCCACCCGACCUACAGUUUCUUAUUGGGAAGGCCAUGGAUUCCUGAAGCUGGAGCUGUGACAUCUACUCUACAUCAGAAGCUAAAAUUUGUGAAGAACGACAUGCUUGUUAUUGUUGGUGAAGAGAAGGCAUUGUUAGUGAGCUAUUUGUCAUCUUUCACUUAUUUUGAUGAUGAGGAGAAGAUUGGAACAAAGUUCCAGGCCUUAUCCAUUGCUGAUGAAAUGAAGAAAACUGGGGCACCCAUGUCUUCUUUAAAAGAUGCGCAAGAGGCUAUUCAAGUUGGUAACAUUUACAAGUGGGGUCAUGUUGUGGAGAUUACCGAGAACAAGAAUAGAGCUGGAUUGGGAUUUCAACUAGGGCCAUUCAGUGCCAGAGCCAAAGUUAUGCAACCAAUUUUCUGCAGUGGAGGGUUCAUUAGUGAGAAUGAUCAACACUUAGCCGCCAUUAUUGAAGACAGUGGUGAUGAAGACGAAGCUUGCGCCAACUUUGUGACGCAUGGCCAGACUUGCAACAACUGGAUUGUUGUUGAUGUUCCUGUUUUCAUUCAUCGUUCUAAGUAAUUUGUUUUAUUUAUUUUAAGAAAAUCCUUCUCUUAUGCCUAAGGGAGAAGUGAACAUUGUUGGGCAUUUUAUUAUUAUCAUCAAUAAAAUACGAUUUUAUUCAUCCACAUCUAUGAUGUUUUAUAUUUUCUUUUUGCUUUUUGCUUUUUCUGAAAAUGGUAAUCACAAAAAACAUAACAAAUAGUAAUCUUCCAUCUGCAUAAUAUUUGUUCACACUCCACUUCUCUAAAAUCAAAAUAUCAAAUGAUUAUGCAGGUUGGUUCUCAAACCCAUUGAAUACAAUGAUCCUACUCCCUCUCCAAACUUUGAUUUCCAUGUGUUUGAAGCUAAGGAAGAAAGUGAUGAUGAAGAAAUAUCUGAUGAAUUAUCUCGUUUGCUUAAGCACGAGGAAAAAGUCGUUCAGCCAUUUAAAGAACAAAUUAGUCAACUUGGGUUCCGAGGACGAUGUGAAAGAAGUCAAUAUUGGGUCUCAACUUUGUCUAGAAGCUAAGAAGGGGUUGAUUGAUCUUCUUCGAGAUUAUUCUGAUGUGUUUGCUUGGUCCUAUCAAGACAUGCCAGGGUUGGAUUCUGAGAUUGUGGAGAAUAGAUUGCCGUUGAAGCCAGAAUGUCCGCCAGUCAAGCAGAAGUUAAGAAGAACUCAUCCUGAUAUAGCAGUUAAGAUCAAAGAGGAAGUGCAGAAGCAGAUUGAUGCUGGUUUUCUUGUAACCUCUGAAUAUCCGCAGUGGGUGGCCAAUAUUGUGCAUGUUCCUAAGAAAGAUGGAAAAGUACGCAUCUGUGUUGAUUAUAGAGAUUUGAAUAAAGCUAGUCCAAAAGAUGAUUUUCCUCUGCCACACAUUGAUAUGUUGGUAGACAAUACAUCUAAAUUCAAAGUCUUUUCAUUUAUGGAUGGAUUUUCCAAUUAUAAUCAAAUCAAGAUGGCACCCGAAGAUAUGGAGAAGACCACAUUCAUUACACCCUGGAGAAUAUUCUGUUAUAGAGUGAUGCCUUUCGGUUUAAAGAAUGCUGAUGCAACGUACCAGAGAGCUAUGACCACUCUUUUUCAUGAUAUGAUGCAUAAAGAGAUUAAAAUUUAUGUUGAUGAUAUGAUUGCCAAGUCAAGUGAUGAAGAAGAGCAUGUUGAGCAUUAGUUAAAGUUAUUCCAGCGAUUGAGGAAGUACAAACUCCACUUGAAUCCCAAUAAGUGUACUUUUGGUGUUCGUUCUGGUAAGUUAUUGGACUUUAUUGUCAGUGAGAAGGGUAUUGAAGUUGAUCCUGCCAAGGUCAAAGCAAUACAAGAAAUGCCUGCGCCCAAAACUGAGAAGCAAGUCAGAGGAUUUCUCGGCCGCUUGAAUUAUAUCUCAAGAUUUAUAUCGCAUAUGACUGCCACAUGUGCGCCUAUUUUCAAGCUUCUUCAGAAAGAUCAGUCUUGUGAUUGGACCGAAGAUUACCAUAAAGCUUUUGAUAGUAUCAAAGAGUACUUGCUUGAGCCUCCUAUUUUGUCUCUGCUUGUUGAAGCAAGACCGUUGAUCAUGUAUUUGACUGUGUUGGAUGAUAGUAUGGAUUGUGUUCUUGGUCAGCAAGGUGAAUCGGGAAAGAAAGAAUAUGCAAUUUACUACCUCAGUAAGAAAUUCACCGACUGUGAGACUCGGUAUUCUAUGCUUGAAAAGACAUGUUGUGCAUUGACUUGGGCUGCUAAGCGUCUACGCCAAUAUAUGUUGAACCAUACCACUUGGUUGAUAUCCAAAAUGGAUCCAAUCAAGUAUAUCUUUGAGAAGCCUGCUUUAACUGGGAGGAUUUCCCGUUGGCAGAUGUUGUUAUCUGAGUAUGAUAUUGAAUAUCGAUCUCAGAAAGUUAUCAAGAGUAGUAUCUUAGCAGACCAAUUGGCUCACCAACCGAUUGAAGAUUACCAGUCAGUGCAGUAUGAUUUUCCUAACGAAGAGAUUUUGUACUUGAAAAUGAAAGAUUGUGAUGAACCGCUGCUUGAAGAAGGGCCAGAACCUGGUUCCCGUUGGGGCAUGGUAUUUGAUGGAGUUGUUAAUUCAUAUGUGUCAUACCCCAAUUUGGUCAGGGCAUUUCAAAAUUUUCAUAAAUUUGAUUUAAUUUUCAGUUUUCAUCAUAUCUACAGCAUAACACGCAUUUCAUCAUGAAUAACACAUAAAAUAUCAGUCGGAAUAAAUUCUUGAAAAUACAAACAAGUUGGUUAAAUCAUUCCUCAAGUACGGACAAAAUCAGCGGAUAAAAAAGUUUUGAAAUUAAACUUGCAGACGUCAGUAUUAUUAAUCUAUGGUUCACGUAGUUUAAUCUGGUGUGCUCGUUUUAUUUUUCGACGACUUUUUCAGUCGCAUUUUGAUCCAUCUGAGCCUUUUAACCGGUGAAAAUUUAUUUCAAAAUUUAAAGAAACGCUGUAUUUUUUCAAUAAGUAUAUUUCGUGCUGAUCAUUUUAGUGCGUCUGAUUUAAUUUUUUGAGCAAAUUUUUGCCCGACUUUUAUUCAUUUUUAGUCGUUUUAAUUUUACUCUUUUGCCAAAAUAUUCAGAUUAAAUAAAUAGAAUUUUCCAUGUCCUUAGUUUAUUUUUAUCACAUUAAUUUAAGGAGUUGUCAAUUUUAUUUGAUUUAAUUGAUUUAAAUGGUUUAAAUCAAUUAAAUCAUAUAGAAUGGGCGUUUUAGGCAUUUUAAAUUAUCUAACAACUUUUGUUUCUUUGUGUGUUUCCUUAAGUUAUAUUGGGAUCAUCGGUUCAAAUUUAUCAAUGACCCAUAAUGGCAAUCCUUCUCCAUUUCAUUUCAUCCAAUCAAAAAUAAAAUAAAAUUAAUUGAAUUAAAAAUGACAAAGAAAAUUAGAAAAUAAAAAUAUCUUGUUUCUCCCCAGUAAAGUUGAGCCACACGUCCGUUAUGGAUAAGGAUUAUAUUUUUUUUAACUAAAGAAAAUGAAAUACAACUCAAUAACCUCUGUCCACUAAUGAAUCUCUGUUGGUCUAACGGUAAGAAAGGAAAAAAAACAAAAAGGACAACUAGCCUCCACACUCUCUCAGAGACUCUCUCAUUUUCCAAUGGCUAUAGGUCACAGAAAAAUAAAAUAAAAAGGAAAAAGGGGAACACCGUUCAUGUUCUUUCCCACAACUCCAUUCACUCACGUAGAACGCCAAUCAACCACAAUAAGCCGCCGGAAAACAUUAACUCAUUACAAUCGCCGCCUCCAUAAAACCUCCUUCACACUCACCUCCGCUGCGAACCCGGACCACCGUCCCAUCCAACCUUCCGCCACGAAUCUAAUCCCCACCGUUAUCUUCCCACCAUCACAAAGUCCCCUCUCCAACUUCUCUGUCGCGGCUACAACACCACGACACCCCCCCGUUGCACCGUCGGUGGCAACCCCAAACCAUCCGCCGGCGAACCCUUAUCCGUCUGUCACCAAUUCCGACCACCGCAAAACCAUCUCACUUCGCUCAUUCCAUCUCCGUUCCUUCACCUGCGCAAACUAAGCGCCAUAGUCGCCCAACACACCUCUCCUUCUUCUUCUCUAAGUUCCGCCGGCAAACGAUUCUUCCGUUGGAAACACCAUCACCAUCAUAAAACUCUCCUCAUCAUGGAAUCACAGUCCAUUUCCUUCAUACACCCUCGCCGACAACGUCCAAAACAUUACUCCCUUUUACUACUUCAGAUCUACAAACUCAACCGUCGCCCGUGAAUCCUCCACCGCGACCCACCUUCAACUACCGCAUGAUCCUUUUUCCGACCGACCAACCCCAAGCUACACCAUUCAACAUCGUCAAACACAUGACGCCCAUCGCCGGCGGAAUAUUACAUCUACCUGCACCGUCAAGCCUCUCUCGUUACGGUAUUCUUGCGUCACCGUCAUUUUCCGUGUUUGGUUGGUUUUCCUGUCUUAUCUCUUUCUAUACUCGUUGUUCUAAUGAAUUUCAUGGAAUUGUAGCAUAUCUAUGAUGGUGUAUAUCGAUUAUGCCGGUUAUGUUUCAAUUUCAUCAUGUGACUUUUGUUGACUAUCAUGUUGUUGUGUUUGUUCAUAAGGAAGUUGGAAAAAGUAGCUAAGCACAUGCUUGUGUGGUUUAAUCUCUGUGUUUUUUUAUUAGGAUAUUAGAUUGUUGUGGAUCUUUUAAAUAUUGCAUGUAGUAAUAUAUUGAUUAAUUGGCCAAUAGAUUGUGAGAUAUUAAAAGUCUGUUACGGCUGAUUUUGGUUUGGUAUCUUGCCAAGAAUAUGUAAAUAAAAAGUUAAGUUAUAGCAUAUGAAUGGUGGUAAUCAUAAUUCUGAGUAGUAGUACAUAUAUUGUAAUUAUAUUUUGGUUAUAUCACAGUGUACAUAGAUUGUAAUUAUAAGUUGGUUAAAUUAUAGCAUAUGAACGGUGGUAGUCAUAAUUCUCAGUAGUAGUAUAUAUAUUGUAAUUAUAUUUUGGUUAUAUUACAGUGUACAUAGCUUGUAAUUAUAUUUUGGUUAUAUUAUAGCAUAUGAAUAGUAGUAAUCACAAUUCUGAGUUAAUUAAGUAUUAAUAUUUUAAUUGUAUUAACAAUUGAUUGCUAU
rnacentral:lncRNA from 1 species